rnacentral:lncRNA from 1 species
UCAAAUCGGAAUAUUGUAAUUUGAUAUCUAUAUGUCGAUUUGAUCUCCGCUUCGCUUGGAGUUUCUUCCUUGGUUUUCUACGAUACUCCUAAGCGAAGGAUCACCAUAAUCAUGAUGCUCUUCAUGACGGCGUCGUGGAUUCGGCGUGUUUGACGGCGGUUCGUGGAUUCGGAUCGUGGGCUCGUGGAUUCGAGUGGCGUCGUGGAUUCGGCGUGAUUGAAGCUUCGUGGAUUCGAAGUGGAGGCGUUCGUGGAUUCGGACGUGAGGGCGUGGACAACCCGGAGGGUAGCGCGAAGAUUCAUAGGAGGUCAAGAGAGGUUGAGUCCGUGGAGUCGGUAAAUCACCUUGUAAUCUUUUCUCUUAGUGGAUUGUUUUUUCGCGUGUUGGUCCCGUGGGUUUUUCUCCAAAUUGGAGUUUUCCCACGUAAAUCUCGGUGUGCUUUUUAUUUUCCGCAUUUAUUUUUAUUGCAUCGAGAUUUGUGGUUUUUGGUUGUUACACCUAUUCACCCCCCCCCUCUAGGUGAUAGAUACAAUCUAGAUAGAUCCUUGGGCUCCUCAAAACUUUCAGAGGACGGCAGCGGGCCUUCGAGCGGCUAAGGCCGGAGCGGCUUCAAGCGACUAAGGGCGGCGAGCUCGGUGGAGCGGCCGAGCGGAAGGGUUUAGCGCGGCCGGCUCGACGGUGAUGAGGGAGCUUUGAGCGACCUCGUGCGGCUUCGAUCGAUGGGGGCCGCGCAAGAGGGGGUCUACGCCGGCGACGGGGAACCGCAGUGGAGGAGGCGCGCGGCGGGGGAACGCGCGCGCGCCGCGAGGAGCUUCCGGAUGGAAGCUCGAGUGGGUCAAGGGCGACGCAGCUUCGAGCGGCUUCGAACAGCGCGGCGCCGCUUCAUAGCGGCGACAUCGAUGGGGCGGCAUCGAGUUCACCAACAGAGAGAGUGAGAGAGAGGAUAGAGAGAGAGGUUUUUUGUGUUUUAUUUUUUAUUUUUUAUUUUUAUUUUUUUUUGGGUUUAUCAGAGAGAUGGAGAAGAAGAAGGACUACCAAUACCUCUUUUUCUUCUCUUUCGGGAACAGGGAAAAAAAAUUUGUGGAAGGUUUUCUUCAGAGUUCAAAAACAGUCUCCCUUUUUUUUUUUGUGUCAGGUAUAUUUAUGGCCUCCCCUCCCUCUUCUUUUUUGAUCACGUCAAUGAUGGAGUCGUGGGGAGUUGGAAAGUUGAUCGUGGAGUAAUGGGGCGCGCGGAGGAUGUGGGUUAGUUGGGUAAUCGUGGGUAGUUGGAGGUUGAUCACGGCGCCGAUUGUGGGGUAAUAGAACGAAUGUUAAUCGUAUGGGGGAUAUGGGACAUGAGAAUCUAAUUUCCCUCCCUUUUUUUUAUUAUUAAUAUCUCUUUUAAAUCGUGGAUCUCAACUAAUUCCCACUUUUUUUAUUUUAUUAUUAUAUGAGAAAAAUAAUAAUAACGACAGUAAUGAUAUUUUAUUAUUAUUAUUUUUUACUCAAACAAAUGCCCCCCGCCUAUUCAAACUUGUGAAUUUGAACAAGGUUGAAAAGGCGAUAAUCUCCUCGUGCGAUUUCCACUUCCAACUUGUUGAUUUAGGCGUGGUUCCCUUUUCAAUUUGCCAUCAAGGAUCCAAGGUAAUUUUCGUGUGAAUUUACACAAGGUUGGAAAGGCGCCAAUCCUCUAUACGAUUUUCAUAUUGCCAUCAGAAAUCCGAGGUAAGUUUGCCAUGGCUAAAUUUUUCAUAUGAACAUACAUAUAUAUAGCUUCUUCUUCCUCUCUUUUUUUCUUUUUUUUUUUUUUUUUUUUGUAUGAACAUAUAUGAACCCGAUCCGCAUACAAAGUAAAUAGGUAAUAUUUUGUUUUGGAUUGCGAGUCUUAUUUAUCUGUUUAUAAUCAUCUUCUCGUUCUAGAUCAUGUGGAAAAAGAGCGAGUCGUUAAUUCAUCCAGAUGAUCGAACCUUAGGCGUGUUUAGAGGGCUUUCUUUAAUACGUUCACCUCCAAUACAUGGUUAUCCCGCCGAACUUGUAAUCCCUCAUGAGACACCUACGUUCAAAGAAUGGGCGAUAUUUAAGCAGAAACAGUUAUUGGGUCGUUUUGGAGGCGAUUAUUAUGCUUCUGAUGGUGACGGUGAUGUCAUAUUGUUGCCCCCGCUAGGUCCUCCGAAAGAAAGAGAUACGUUACAAUCUCUUGGGUAUAAAAUACUUAAUGAUCAUCUAGGCUGGUGUGGGAUGAUUAGAUCUUUUGGAGAUAGCAUUGAGGUAGAAGGUCUGAUUGACUGGGGAAAUUAUAUUCUUUCUCGUUAUACACCCCAAUUACGUCAUGCUGGCAUUUUGGGAGGUAUUGUAGCUUCGCGCAGGAAGUACAAUAAGAACAUUAACAUCAUUAAGGCAUUGGUGGAACUCUGGUGUUCGGAAACAAACACGUUUCACCUUCCAUAUGGUGAGAUUGGGAUUUCUUUAUGGGAAAUUAGAGAACUUAGCGGGCUUCCAAUUAUCGGUGAUAUAUAUGAUGAGUAUAUCUCGCUAAAUUCUGAACUUUAUAAUAAAAACAGUUAUCUCAACUGUGUUAGGGAGCUUUUUGAUAUUUACCAAUGGCUUGUAGCUCGAUCUUCUAAUAAGCGCGUACGGUAUGAUUUAUAGGUGAAUUUCUUUUAUACGAGCUGUAAGAAAUUGGGUCGAUCUAGAUCUCAAAGCAUAAGCAAUAGAGAGCUCGCGCCAUCAUAUACGGAAGAUACAACUCGAGCGGCCUUCAUUUCCUUAUGGCUAUAUAACUUUGUAAUGCCUUCUGGGUUAGAUCAUUUUAUCCGACCUGAAACAUUUGUUAUGGCUUCUAAGUUAGCUUUAGGUGAGAGAGUUGCCUUAGCUCCUGCUGUUCUUUGUGCCAUUCAUGUCGGCUUGUCUUUUAUGAGUGACCAUCCUGAAGGUCCUGCACAUCCUCGGCCCCAAUUUCCUGUUAAUUUUCUGUAUGCGUGGAUCGGUCUUCAUUUUGAACAGACUUAUUCACGAAAGAUGAUCAGCGACGACAUCAAGAACAUCGCCAGUUUAAAAAGCCAUCCUCAAAUGAUAUUUUUUAUGGAUGCCGCGGCUUCUCCUUUUAAUGCUAAGCGAGCACGAAUUCACCUCAGGUCGAGCGCCCAUUUUGUGUGGCGUCCUUUGCCAUAUUCUUAUUCUUUUGUUAAUGAUGGUUGGCUUUAUGAUGCGAAAUUAGCCACAGGAGAGUGUAAAUAUCCGAAAGAGGUCUACGAAUAUAUCAUCUCUAUCAGACAAAGUGUACUUCCACUUCUUUUAGGGAACAAACUACACACGCAGCCAUAUAACCCUCAUCGUUUUGCUCGACAAUUUGGUUUUGAUCAAUCUUUCCCUGAAAGUAUCAAUGUUCCUAAGUUAGCCGAUCACCUUGGGAUACUUGCUGGAUAUUGGAAUCAUUUCAUUCGAUAUGGAACUUCUACGAAUUAUUUUAUACCAAAGAAAGAUCGAAUCGGCAAACCGACUUUACAUUAUGCGCGCUGGUGGUCUAAUAGCGUGCAUUCAAGCUUCAAGCAUGGAGUGGGCUAUUUACUAGCUGCAGAUGAUCCCCGCAAGAAGAAGAAAGGUGUUGCUAUUGUUGGUAAAGAUUCUGAUUUUGAGGAGAGGUUAACCUCGUCAAAUGUUAGAGAUGAAAGGGUUCUGAAUAUUCCAGAACCAAAGGGAAAAGAACUGGACUUAUUUCCAGAAUAUGAUCAUAUUCAAGCUGAUCUUUCAGAUGACUCCCCUCAACGUGAAGUUCUUGGCCUCAGUUUUCCAAUCCACGAGGACGAUAGAUCUAAGGUAUUUUAAAUUUUUUUUUUUUUUAUUUCCCCCUUUUUUUCAACUGAACUCCUUUCGUUCUAUUUGUAGGGAGUACACAUUAUGGAUUCGGCUACCGCAAGUGAAACGCAUUCGCCAGAUUCCACAACAAGAUCAAAGGUGCGGUAUAUAAUUCGAAUGUUAUUUAUUCCAGCAUUCUUUUUGUAUAUAUACAUAUUAACUGUACAUAUAUAUACGUAGAUAUGCAAUGUGGAACCACCUUUAAGAAGUCCAGAAAAUCCACCUCCUGAUGCUUUAACUGAGGUAGCUCGGGGGAAGCUUCCUGCUACCGUGUCUUCGAUAAUAGGUAACUUUUCCACUAUUUACGUGCGCAUGUGGAAUAGAUUAUACUCAUUAUGAAUAACAUAUAAUCAUAUGUUAUUAUGAAUAAUAUAUUGACCUAUAGGGUCGCAAAUCGGAGGGACUGGAACAAUGGAGGAUGAUGUAUCUCCAUAUGACGACGAAUUUGCUGACCAUGUUUCAAUACCUUCUCCGUCAAGAUGUAUUGAGGUAAUUUUAUUCAUCUCUCUUCUUUAAAUCCAUAUGCCUUCUAUUAAGUAUUUAAUUCUAGACUAAAGAAGGGAGUAAGAUAUGGAUAAUAGUGUGUGAUUUUUCGUUAAAAAUCUGUAGCCGCAGAAAUUUUGUAAAUCGGAUCUAUAGCGAAAAUGUUAUGGCCCGUUUACAUUUUGGUCCCUGUAGCAUGUAUCUUUUAUGUUUUGCUCUGAAUAUCAGCAUAUGGUUCCCCCUUUUUUGUUGCAGGAUCUACUCACAGAUGUUGCAGAUAUUGGAGUGUCUUCUUUCAAUGAAGCUUCCCUGACUCGCCAGGAGGUAUUUAUUUUAAAUUUCACCCGCACAUUAAAUGUAUUUGCUAUUCUUCUACACCAUAACCCUGUUAUUUAGGAUAAGGGCGCCAAAGAGGAGGGCGGAAGCAAAAAUGAAGCUGCAACAGAAAUGCCUUCACUGGGUAAAAGAGAACGGGUCAGUGACAUUUCGACCAUGGAAGCGCCUAAACGAGCUCGUUUGGAGACCAAUUUGGAUUCAACCGGUAAAACCUCAUCCUCUUUUUUAAUAAAUCUCAUAAAAGCACUCCUCAUGUUGUACAUAUUUUUGUGCAGAUUUGCAGGCAGGAUCAAAAUCGAAUAUUGAUCCGGAAGACGCUUUAUCACCUUAUGGUGAUGAGGUGGAUUAUGAAUUUACGCCUUCACCACCAGAAGUUAAAAACACGGUGAUUUUUAUUUUAUAGCUGCGCAUUUCUUCUCAUUCUUUUUAUUCCCUUUUUUUUUAUGCUUGUCUUUCUUCCUUUCUUUUCAGGAUGAAAAUAUCGAUGUUCGCUCAGAUAGUGGCACAGGAUGUUCCCGAAACGAGAUACCUAUUGUAGCCAAGUCAUUUUUGACCGAUCGCAUAAUAGAUAUCGUGAAGACAUUCGAUCGUCGCCAAUUUAAAUCGGCUCAAGAAGAAGUAUCAAAAUAUUGCCAAUGUCUAUCCGCACUCGGGUUUGACACAUCUGAACUGGAAAGGCGCAUAAAGCCCAUAUUCGAUCAUGCAGAAGUCAUUGAAGAGCUAGUAUCAAGUCCAAAUUUUGUUCCAUUUGUUCGAGUAAUGGAUGCUGGUGAUAAUUUGGCGUUAAGUCAAAGGAAACUUGCUUCCCACAUGGCUACCAAGGAUUCUCUCCUUCAAGCUACUAGAAACGUCUCUUUGCAGCUUCAACAAACCAGAGAGAAAAUAAAAGAACUAGAAGAGAGCAUAUCACAUUUGAAGAGCACUGAAGCGGAGCUAUCACUUCAACUGGAAGUGGCCGAUGAUUCUUUGAAGAAGCUACAACCGUCACAGGAAGAGCUGCAACAGGAUGUUGUUAAUGCAGAAAAGGAGCACGCUGCAGCCACUGAAGUUUAUAAUGAUUCUAAAGAGUCCACUGGUCUUCGAGAAUUGAUAGAAUUGUUUGAGGAGCGUCGUCAAAUACUUGAGAUUUGACUUUUUCUUUCUUCUUCUUUUUUUUUAUUUCUUUUUUUUUUUGCUUGUCUCUAAUAAGAAACAAUAUUCUGUAGACUCGACAAUUUGACAUUUUGAAUGCUUUGGAUUAUGCUUUGAUCUCUUCUAUUUUGUUGUGUGAUGCUGCACUGUGACAAUGAUCAUAUUGCUUGUUUGUUUAUUCAUUUUGCCUUGAUAAGCAACAAAAAUCCCCACGCAUAAUCAACUCUAAAAUGAGUCCCAAAAAUUUCUCGCACUGUAGAUUUCUGAUUUGUCACAGCUAACAUUUAUAAUUUUAUCACCGAAAUCCCAAUAUGGAAAAUCGAGUCCGCCAGUUGCUCACAUUGGCUAGUGGACAUGAUUAGACACGGUAGGUCUAAAUUAACAUUUCAAAUUAAAAAUGCUCAGUUUAACGACAUGAUGGUCGAUUUACAUCAAAAUGCUCAGUUUAACGACACGGCGAUCAACUUAAAUCAAACGCUCCCCUAAAUAGGGGGCUCAAAAGUUUUUCACCCUUUUUUUUUUUUUAAGCCAUCAAAAUGCUCACCUUUUUUGAAAGCAAUUGAAAUUGCUACACAUAACUGACCCUAAGGCGAGUUAGUGGAAAAAAUAUAUUUUGGGUAAUAGGAGACAUGGUUUGAUUUUUUUUUUUUUAUUUUACCUCGAGACGCAAUCGAAAUUGCCGCAUAACUGACCCUAAGGUGAGUUAGCAUUCCGUCAUAGGCAAAAUAUAUUUUGAGUGAUCUGGCGCCCAUAUGGGUUUUCACCAGAUACCUUCCCCUAACUUUUGCCUGUGAGCCUCGAAAGGUUUUCUCACAGCGGGGAUCCCAAUUUUGCCUGUGGGGUUAUACCACAGCCAGGAAUUUUUUGCAUUUUUACCCUGAAGUCCAAUAUGGACAAUCAAAUCCGCUGGUGGCUCAUCUUUUACCCAUAUUAUUUAAAAAAAUUAGAUAACAUGUCCUCCACUUUUUUAUUUUAUACAUAAUAUUUCUUUAAGAAACGACCGUUGAUAGGUGGCAUUGGCCUUUCACCUUUGGCGUCAAUUAAUUGGUAGGCACCGCCUUCAUAAGCUUUCUCCACCACAUAUGGGUCUUCCCAAUUUGGAUCAAACUUCUUCCCAGUAUGUUUAUUGAUUAUAAUCGGUCUGCGAAGAACGAGCACGAGCUCCCCAACACUAAAGGUGCGGUAUCGGGUGAGCUUAUUAUAUGCUCUCGCCAUCUGGGCUUGAUAUAGCUCCAAAUUUUGCUGGGCAGUUAACCGAGUUUCAUCCAAUGCAUCUAGCUCAUCAAGCCUUAGUAGAGCAUUUUCUUCAUUUGUUAACUCGUGUUGAACUGCUAUUCGUAAUGAGGGCAAUUCAACUUCUCGUGGUAAUACCGCCUCAACACCGAACACCAAAGAAUAGGGUGUUGCUUGAGUUGGCGUUCUGUAUGUGGUCCGAUAGGCCCAUAGAGCUUCGAUGAUCCGCAUAUGCCAUUCCUUUUGAUUUUGCCAAUGAUUUUCUUCAAUAGCUUUGUCAAAGUCUUAUUAAAGGCUUCGGCCAAUCCAUUAGCCCUUGCAUUAUAUAUUGAAGAAUAUCUCCAAUCAAUUUUAUGUUGAGUGGCAAAUCUAUUGACUUUGAAACUCCUGAAGGCAGUUCCAUUGUCAGAUAUAAUUCGCCUUGGAACUCCGAAUCGAUAUAGAAUAUUUUCUCUAAAGAAUUUGACGAUAUCAUCUGCUUUUACUUCUCUUAGUGGGAUUGCUUCAACCCAUCUAGAAAAGUAAUCUGUAGCAGCAAGAAUGAAUUUAUGCCCCCUGGAAGAUGGCGGAUUGAUAGGUCCUAUCACAUCUGUUCCCCACAUAUCAAAUGGCCACGAGGCAAUUGUGGGAUGCAAGGGAUUUGGAUGCCGAUGAAUAAAAUCACCGUGGAUUUGACAUUGAUGGCAUUUUCUGGCAUACAUUAUGCAAUCUUGUACCAUGGUUGGCCAAUAAUACCCCAAAUGUUUAAUUUUAAGGCGCAUGUUUGGCCCUGAUUGGUGCGCACCGCAAACGCCUGAAUGAACUUCAUGCAUGACUUGUUUAAUCUCAUCUGGAGAUAAACAUUUAAGACAUAAUUGAUCAUAAGAUCUGCGAUAAAGCUGAUCAUUAACAAAUACAUAUCUCAUUGCCCUUUUCUUAAUUUGUGCCUGUCUCGACUUUUCCUCUGGCAACUUAUUAUAUUUGAGAAAGUCGAUGAAAGGUUCCCUCCAAUCAUCUUCUAUAUCGAUAGUUGCGACUUCAGCUUCCUUUGUAUCUUUUUCUGGAUUUAAGUCAGCCGGGGACAAUAUUUUCCGAUUCCGUAUAGUUAUUUGGACUUCAUCCAUAGUGGGAUCGGCAAGCUCUUUAGCCAAUCAAGCUAGGGCAUCGGCUUUUCCAUUUAUAGCCCUGGACACUUUUUCUAUUUUUAUAUAUGGGAUUUUCUUCAUAAGAUAUUUCACUUUUGUUUGAUAUUCGACCAACUCAGAUUUAUGUAUUUUAAACUCCCCUUCAACUUGGUUGAUGAUUAAUUGGGAGUCUCCAUAGAUAUGCAAUUUUUGUAUGUUCAACUGGAUUGCAAUUUCUAAACCAGCAAUAAGAGCUUCAUAUUCAGCCUCAUUAUUUGUGCGAGGUUCAGAAAGGGCUAAUGAGUACCUUAAAAUGCCUCCUUCAGGUGUUACAAAGAUUAACCCUAUCCCGGCCUUAAUCUUAGGGAUAUUUGGACUGAAAGCUGGUUGAAUUGAGGAUGCACCAUCAAAAUACAUUUUCCAAUAGGGUUGGUCUUCUUUAGUAAACAUGAUAUGCUCAUCGGGCAAAUCACAGAUCAAAGGUGAGUCAUUUGGAAUUGGGUGCGCAGCUAGAAAAUCAGCAAGUGCUUGACCUUUGAUGGCCUUCUGUGGUACAUAAGUGAUGUCGAAUUCAAGGAGUAUAAUAGCCCACUUCGCCAACCUUCCAGUCAAAACUGGUCUUGUCAUUAAGAAUUUAAGUGGGUCCACCCUCGAAAUUAAAUGGAUUUUAUGUUCCAACAUAUAAUGUCUUAAUUUCUUAACGGCAAAUAUGAGGGCUAGACAGUGCUUUUCAAUUGGUGAGUAAGAAUUUUCUGCCCCCACUAACAUCCUGCUGAGAUAAUAUAAAGCACUUUCCUUUCCUUCUUCAUUAUUUUGAGCAAGGAGUGCACCGAGCGAUCCUUCAAACGCAGCAGUAUAUAAAAUUAAUAGCCUACCAUGGAUAGGGGCAGCAAGCACUGGGGGACUUAAUAAAUAUUUCUUAAUGUCGUCAAAUGCUGUUUGACAAUCAUCGUCCCAUAUAAAAGGCGCAUCUUUCUUCACCAAUUUAGAAAAUGGUUUAAUUCUGCCAGAUAGAUUUGAUAUAAACCUUCUGAUAUAGGCCAAUCUUCCUUGAAAGGAUCUUAAUUGCUUCAAAUUCUUUGGAGGUGGCAAUUCCAUGAUAGCCUUGAUUUUUGCCGGGUCGAUUUCAAUUCCUCUAUGUCUAACAAUAAACCCGAGGAAUUUGCCCGAAUAAACUCCAAAUACACAUUUGAGAGGGUUCAUUUUCAGAUUAUAUUUUCUUAAUCUGGUGAAAACUGUUCUCAAGUCUUCAAAAUGAUUUGCUUUAUUCACAGUUUUGACCACCAAGUCAUCAACAUAACACUCAACAACCUUGUGGAGCAAAUCAUCAAAAAUUAUUGUCAUAGCCCUUUGAUAAGUGGCUCCUGCAUUUUUCAGACCAAAGGGCAUAACCUUUUAACAGUAUAUGCCAAUUGGAGUUCUAAAAGCAGUAUGUUUUUCGUCUUCAGGUGCCAUCUUUAUCUGGUUAUAUCCAGAGGAACCGUCCAUGAACGAAAACAUCUCGUAACUUGAAGUAUUAUCGAUCAUUAGUUCGGUGACUGGCAGUGGAAAAUCGUCCUUUGGACAUGCUUUAUUCAGAUCUCGAAAGUCAACGCAUAUGCGAAUUUGACCAUUCUUCUUUUUCACUGGGACUAUGCUCGCGAUCCAAUCAGCAUAUUUUUCUUCUCUGAUGAACCCUGCUUCAAUAAGCUUUUUAGUCUCAGUUAUGAUCUGUUCUUCUAAGUCAACUCUUGUCCUUCUUGGAGCUUGUUUAACUGGAGCCACAUCUGGACUAAUGGCAAGUUUAUGAACAGCCACACUUGGAUCUAAGCCAGGCAUUUCUUUAUACGUCCAAGCAAAGCAGUCUUUAUAUUCCAUCAAUAGUGCUUUCAACACAUCUUGAUAUUCUUCUGGAAGUAAUGCACUAAUAUAAGUGGGUCUUCGAUCCUCUUCAUUACCCAAAUUUAUUUCUAUAAGCUCAUCAACGGUGGCUUGCCCCCCGUCUUCAAGCUCUUGUGGAGCAUCUUUUAAUUCCAGAAGUUUUACUUUCAUUGGCUCGAUAUCCUCAUCCUGCUCCAUAUCCUUUAUCGUGAUCAUAGUGCAGGUGUGUCGUAUAGCACAUGAAUCAUUAUAGGUCAUCUCUGUCAUAGGAGGUGAGGGAUUGAGCUGACCUUUCUCAGAAGAGCACUGAGAUUUAUUGGACACCUAGGUAGAUUGAUGAUAUCCUAACCCUCUUGUGUGUACUGUUCGCCCAUUCGGAAGCACAACUCUUUUUUGCGGUGGAUUCCACAUUUUCUGAAAAAUUUUUCGACUAGCUCGUGACCUUCUAACAGGAAAUCCUGAGCUAUUCAUCAUGUUUUUGAGAUUUUUCGAAAAGUGUGCUGGAAUGUUGACAUCUUCAUAUAUUUCCUCAUCAGAGUCAUCAAGCUUGAUAAGAUCAGAGGGUUUGUAAUCAUCUGACUUAUAGAAAAGGAUCCCCUUCUUUAUUUUUUCUUUUCCCCUGACUUUCUCAACUCGAGGAGGUACAAAGAAGGUUUUUAGAUCAUUCACUUUUGUUGGCUCGCUUAUAUGAAGAGAUUUUAUAUGUCCAUCUGGAACCCUAGUAAUAGCUAAGAAAUCCUCAAUCAAUUCAGGAGUUCUUAUGAACAUAUUUGACUCAAAUGUCGAGAACAUCUAUUCAUCUUCUGAUGAGUCUUCUCCCUAGGGUAUGUUUAUCUUGAAUGUUUCCAGCAUUUUUCUCAAUUGUUCUUCAUCUUCGGAAUCUUCUGAAUCACUUCCGAAGUGUGGAAUCACAUUUUCUUUAUUAUCCUCAAUCUUUAUCUUCCCUUUUGAUGAUUUUUUAUUGCUCUGAACUUUACCCUCUUCGAGUUCUCGAGAUAAUUUUACAUUUUUUCAGAUUCUGCGAAAUAUCUCGCAUCUUCAUAUCGUACCUCAUGCACUCCGAAUGGGUGUAUAUCACCAUCAACUCUGAAUUCCUCUCCAUCCUUAAUAUAUUUCAUACAUUGAUGAAGAGUAGAGGGGACAACAUUAUAUUCGUGCAGCCAAGGCCGUCCCAAUAACGCCUUAUACGAGGUAUCUGCAUUUAUCACAUAAAAUUUUGCUUCGGUCCGUAAUGCUCCAAAUUUUAUAGGAAGAAUGAUCGACCCGAGAGCUUUUUAGCUAUGUUGAUUAAAGCCUUGGAUCACGAUUUUCUUCGAGGACAGAUGAUCGACAUUCAGAGCUAAACUUUUCAAAGUUCUUAAAGUCAAAAUAUUGAUUGAGGAUCCAGGAUCGAUUAAAAUGCGAUUAAUCUUAUCUCUAUCACUCGUCCCAGUCACAUAUAACGGCCUAUUGUGAUGAGCAGUUCCCAGCAACCUGUCUUCAUCAGUGAAGAUAACAUUGGCGACAUGUCUGGCGUAUAACGCCUCUUUCAUAUUCACCUCAGCAAAAUGAGCAUAAAAGGGCUCGGGAUUUUGUAAAGCAUAAAUGAGUACGUCCCGAAGUUCUUUGGACAUCAUCAGAGCGUCAUAAACACUCAGCAAAGCAGGCACUUUUCUUAAAUGGGAAAGUAUGUUAUAGUCAGCCUUUGAUAAUCUCCCUUGACUUGAUGAAGUCGGUGCCUCUUCAUUUAUCCGAAUUUCUUUAUCUUUAAGAUUUUGAGGAUGCCCUUGUCUUUCUGGUGAUACUUUUCCGGAUUUCAGCGUGAUUUGCAAAGAAUCCUCAGCUUCUUUAUCUUGCUUAGUAUUAGAGUCAGUACCACAAGUAACAGUUUGGCAUGUUUCGACUCUAGUCUUUUCAAGAGUAUUCAACUUGUUGAGGAUCUCUUUCAAUUGUUCCUUCAUGCUUUUUACCGCCAUGGCCACACAAUCUAUGUUUGUUGCUAGAAAGCGUACAUCAAUCUGCACUCUCCUCAAAUCAUUGUCAAUCUCAAGAAGACGAUAUUCCAUUCUCCUUGCACCAUAAUCCCUGCUCGGGGUAUUGUAUGCUAGCCAUGCAGUAUCAUCAUCUUCACGUGCACCAGCAGAUUGCCUGACCCUAUUCUCUUGAUUUACAGAGUCGUCAGAUUGCUCUUCAGAGAUUGUUAUUACUCGACACGACUCUUUGAGCUGUGAUUUGUUUUUUCUAUGGUCUCGAAGUUUCACGCAUACAUCAUAAGCAUGACCUCUCGCUCUACACCAACAACAACGCGGUUUCAUAUCAUCGAAAGCAUCAUAACAUGUUUUUCUGAAUUCUUCCAGAGUAAUGGGUUGUUGUUUCUCAAAUCGUGGCAGAUGUCUCUUCCAUCGUUGACUUUUGGACCCGGCAACCGUCGGUUGAUCGACCUUUAGCUUCGCCUUGUCAACAGUUAGAUUCUGCAUCUUUUUCCAUUGGCGACAAUUUUCUAGGGUGUGCCCCCAUAUAUUGUGAUAGGAACAGAACUCUGUCGACAUAACUUUCUUUUUCCCUUCCUUAAUUAGAGGUUCAUUAUUCUGGCGAGCCUCUGACUGCUGGCUUAGAGUUGGUUUCUUCUUCUUUUUCAGCGAAGAUGACCCUGCAUUUCCUCUCACCGACAUUCUUUUAAUUUCUUGAGCAAUUAUGUGUGCUUCAUAGAAAUUUGCGUCGUAUUCGGCUUUUGUUGACUUUAAUUGCUCCGAAUCAACUUGCGCAGUUAUGACUCGGCAUGUCUCAACCCGACAUCUUUUUGAUGCUUCAGUAGCAUCUGUCUUGAGCAUAUCUAUUAUAGUUCUCAUUUGAAUAUCUAUGCCCUUUAUAUCGCCAGUCAUACCGUUCAUAUUCAUCUUUAUGAAGUUAAUAUCAUUGUGCAGCGUCCUCAUUUCUCCCUCCAUUCUGAUUAAGCGACACUCCAUUCUAUACAACUUCUUCAUUGGAUCAUUAUAAGUUGAAGUGUCGUAUAAUUCCAAAGGAUCAACAUAAGUAUCAUCGUUUGGUGUGGAGGUCUGUUGAUUUGCCCCCAGGGUCGGCGCAGGGCUUUCUGACACGUCAUCUGACACGUCAUCAGAUAUUGUAAUCACACGGCAUGACUCCCGUGUGUAAGGAAUAGUCUUGUGCUUAUUUUUCUCGUGGCUUGUGCUUCUGGUACUUUGCUUGAUAUUUGUCCUUUGAGAAAACUGCUUUCUUGAUUUUCUCAUAUGUUGAAAAGCGUAACAGUUUUCUAGGUUAUGUCCUUUCACUUCAUGAAAAGGACAAUACAUGGGUGUACUUUCGCCGUUAGAAUACUGAGAAUUCCCUCUUUCUGUCAGUGCCGUUCUCGGACAUUCCCCACCCAUGUUUUUAGUUUCUAUAAGAGGGGUUUUUCCUUUAUCACUUCGAGAAGUAUUGGGUGAAUGCUGAUUUGAAGAUCGAUUUGUAAGCCUUGGCAACGGCUCGAUCUCCCGUUCUCUGUGGUUUUGUGACUGAGUCUGCUGAGGGGGAGGAGUAAUUUUCAUUAAUUGUUCCACUCUGGCUUCGAUCCCAAUCAUCAUAGAGAACAUUACAUUCAAGCGUGCUUUCAUAUCCAAUAUAUUAUCAUUUACCCUGUGAAAGCUGCAGCGUGUCAUUUCUUUUAUCUCAGCCAAUUGGCUAUGAACUUCUCUGAAAUUCCUUUCUUGUUCUCUAACGCGGCCAGAAGGAAAAGUUUCUUCAUCGUCGCGUCGCGUGGUGAUAACUCUGCAAGCCUCUCCCCAAAAAGGCUCUUCUGUUUCUUUACACUCCUCAACAGGAGUUUCUCCUUCAUCAGAGUUUUUCUUUUUCUUAGCCUCUUCUAUUGCUUUGGAAAUAAAAUCAUGAAUCAGAAGAGGAUCCCUUUCAGCCUGUUUAUAUUCUUCCAUUGAGUCAAUAUGUUCCUCAAUAGGCCGUUUCUUAUGCUGUGGCUCAGCCGGCUCAACGAAUUUUUUAUUCUUUUUCGCCCGAGCUAUUCUGCGCCUCGACUUGGCUGGAGUAUUAGAUUUUUUGACUGAAGGCAUGGGCUUAUCCUCAGACUGCACUUCCGGGUUUAAAGGGCCUCGCCACUUUAUCCCUGGAAUCUCUUUUAAAUAUUUUAACAUUUUCCGAGUUUUCUUAGAUAAGAAUAUAUUCCAAAACUUGGGGGGAAAUGCAUUUUCAAUUCCUUCUAUAUUUUCCGCACCCACACCAAUCAUAUUGGUCUUUUCGACUGGCGUUUCUGAUAAUACCGACUGUGAAAGGGUAAUUGCGCCGGUUUUAUAUUGUUUUUCAAUCCAGUCUUUGAAAACCCAGCAAUCUUCAAUUGGAUGACUAAUUAGCCUAUGAUAUGGGCAGUAUUUUGGAUUAUCAGUUUUCCCCACAUCCUCCGGCUUCCUUGGCUCGGGCAGUUGAAGACCAUUUUUAACAGCAUCGUUAAAUAUUUUCUUAACUUUCUCCCGUUUGAAAGGGUACACUUUAUUUCUUCGCUCUUCUAGAGAAAGUGCUUUUGGAUUAUUGCCCCCAAAUAUAGGCUUUACAGGGGUCUGUUCAACUGCAGAGGUAAUUGCCAUUUUACCUUUUUCUAUCAUGUUCGUGCGGGCCGGUCUAGCCUGUGCCGGUCUAGCCUGUGCCAUCUUCGCCUCAACUCUUUUACUAUCAUCCCUUUUUGUCUUUUGUACAUUUACUAAGACUUGGGGAUCAGUUCUCUCCAACCUAGAGACGUUUGAUAUUAAUUCAUGAAAGGUGGAACAACUAGAUGUGCAACAGAAAUGGGGCCAUCCAAUUAUCAAUGUUGCCCAUAACAAGACUAACGGCCUGGGUCUGAUCUAGAGGUUGUUCACACCUUAUACUUAAGUUUCGCCACCGUGUGAUGUAAUCUAACAUCGUUUCAUCUUUCCUUCGUCUGGUGGCUACCAGAUCAGCGAUAGUAAUCUUAUCGCUAACAGUGGCGAAUUUUGCUUUGAAAGCUUCUUCCAUGUCGGGCCAAGUUUUAAUGGACUCAUCCUCGAGGGAGUAGUACCAUUCAAAGGCUAUACCCGAUAAGCUUUGUGAAAAUUGUCGUAAGAGUAGAGGCCCGUUACUCCCAGUAUUUCCACACAUGGCCUUAAAAUGUGCUAGGUGCUGAUCAGGGUUACCAACACCAUAGAACAUUUUGAACUUAGGGACUUGAUACCCGUCUGGAAAAGGUAUAUUAUCAUAUUCUGAUAGAUAAGGAUGUCCUUUCCCUUUUGGUUUUGGGUUUGCCCCCGCUACCGUCUCUUUAACUUGAGAAGUGAUCAAAUCAUGAAUCUCUUCUUUAGUCAAAGAGGUAGUCUCUUUAGGAACAGUUGUUUUAGCCUGUUAAUUAAUGACUUGGGGUGCGGGUGCUUCUGUCCGAGCUGGAGUCUUGGUUUGAUGCCGUUGAUCCUCCAACUGCUUCUGUACAUUCAUCAUCAAACCCAUAACCUCCUCCAUUUUCUUAUAGAGACUUAUAAUAUCUCUAUUUUUUUCAUCAACUUUCUUUUUCAAGGAUGCGAUUAUAGCAUCCUUUGGAUCCCUCGGGAAGAAUACAACCUCUUCUUCCUCCCGUGGAUCAGAUAGAUCACCAGGUAAGUCAUCUUUAUUCCCGGUGUUUUGCGAAGAGCUUGUUUCUUUAGCUCUCGCCUUCUCUUCUGCUGCUUUUCUUGCAGCAGCUCUGGUAAUCAUUUGUUGAAUUGUUUCUUCUUCGUUAACAGCCUCACUUGAGGGCACACGCCCUAUAACUCUCACAGUAUGAAUCUCCAAAUUUUUAGAUUUUUCUUCUUUGAUUUGAGUAAGAGUUUUGGGCUUCCAUUCUAUUUUUCUCCCUUCAUGGGAUAGCGUCGACCGUCGCUGCCAUUUUGGCUUCUCAAUCUUCUUCUCUAUGUUUAUCCUUCCCUUUGCAGCCUUAAAGGCUUUAUAUAUCCGCUUGCAGACAGGGUUCUCGUUAUUGUUUCUCGAACGAGAACAUGCAGGGGAAUGCUUUAAGUGGGCCAUUUCUGACUCUGGGCGCAGAACGGCCGUAGGUGAGUUUUUCCUCACAAACCUCAGGGGUGCAUAUCGGUUAUGGACCAAAACAUCAAGUCCAGCGACAAACCUAGUAAGUUGGGUUUGUCGAGACUUCUGUUCCUUGUUCAUCUCUUGCCGCUUCAAAGUACGACGAAGGUUUCUCUUGAAUGACUUGGUCACAGUGUCUUUGGGGAACGUCAGCCUAUUGAAGACUGACGCUUUAGGCGCCAUAUCAAGUAGCGAUGUUCCGUCAAUUCGGUUUUGGAACACCAGUCUUCCUUGUAAUUCCAUCUUCUUUGAAGCGCUGAUAGGAGUCAUCCUCUCCUUCACAGGAACGCGAGGGGGGUUGGGAAUGACGACAUUCGGACGCCUCCCACGAGAGGGAAGGCGGGGAACCACAGUCUUAACGGUGUCGGUGCUCGUAGCAGCAGUGAAAGGGGCCAUAGCAGCAGCCCUAGCCUCUUCCGGGAUGGUGCCGAAUUGGAUCGUAGCACCGGCAGCUCCGAAAGUGAGGAUGGAUGCUGGCAAGGAAACCUGACCCGCCUUGAUCGUCAUCGAGCCCGCAGCAGUGUUCUUAGGUGCCAUUUCUCCUGCAGGGGAAUAACGAAUGUAGAUUAAAUAUUUACCGUCCAAUUCUAUUAGCAUAUCAUCGGUCUCAAAGAUGGAAGGAGAAGCCAAGUCCCACCGGGCGUGCCAUUUUGUCUGCCACCACGAAUGACGCACCUCGCACGGGGAAUUUUUAUCUUUUGGUUCUCCCAUGGGGUAGUAUUCAUGAUGUAGAUUAAAGUAUGUGUAUGUAUGGUUAUCAGGUAUUGCGGAUCCAUGGCUUCCAAUAAACGCAAGCGUCUAUUGUUAAUUACCCCUUUAGAAUAUUAGGGCACCUUCGAUUAAGAGACCUCUGAAAUGCUGAAGAUAAACUGGAAUUGGACAAAAGGAAAUUUAUAAUUUAUUGCUCAAUUACAUGGCUUUAACCAAGGGCAUACCCUCAGUGUACAUGAAUAGAGCGUAAAGAAAAUGUAUUUUUCAAUUGUAUCUUAGUUAUAUAUUCUAAGAUACCCAAUAUAUGGUCAAAUUAAUUUUGUUGGACUCUAUAUGUUGUGGAGCUCAACACUAUUCACCCUAAGAUGAAAGAUUGAUUAAAUUCCAUAUAUAUAUGCAUUGGAAUUUAAUCAGAUUUAAUUCAGAUUAAACUCUAAUUAUAUGUAUUAGAGUUUGAUUUGGUUAAUUGAACUUUAAAUGUACGUGAUAAAGUCCAAUAGAUGAUCAGAUUUUGUUGAGCUCUAUAUAUUUUGGAGCUCAACUUUGUUUACCAUGAGAUGAAAGAUUGAUUAAAUCCCAUAUAUAUGCAUUGGAAUUUAAUCGAACUUGAUUAAACUCUAAUUAUAUAUAUUAGAAGUUGAUUUGGUUAAUUGAAUUUUAAAUAUAUGUAAUAAAGUCCAAUAGAGUUUGAUUUGAGCUUUCAUCCUAAAUAUAUGUGUUAGGAUUAGCCCCAAAUAUCUUGAAUUAGACUCUAAUUUUAUAUUUUAGAGUCUGAUACAAUUAGGCUCUAAGUUUAUGUAUUAGAGCUUAGUCACAUUUGAUUUUGGUUCAUCUCAAGGUGAAAUAUUAACUAAAUCCUAAUUAUAUGUAUUAGGAUUAGUCAGAUUUGAUUUAAAUUAAACUCCAAGUGUAUGUAUUAGAAUCCAACAAAUUAAUUUGAUCAGAUGGUUUGAUCAAUUCUAAAUAUAGGUUUAGAAUUUGAUCAAGUUUGAACAUGAUUGUGAUUUGACUCUAGUUUUAUAUGCUAGAGAAUCGAAUAUUUUGGGAAUUGGGAUGUUCGUGAAAAUUGAACUUGAGUUUAGUUUAACGACGUUUCGGUCGAUAUCGAAUUUAGGUUUAGUUUAACGACGUUUCGGUCGAUAUCGAAUUUAGGUUUAGUUUAACGACAUUUCGGUCGAUAUCGAAUUUAGGUUUAGUUUAACGACGUUUCGAUCGAUAUCGAAUUUAGGUUUAGUUUAACGACGUUUCGGUUGAUAUCGAAUUUAGGUUUAGUUUAACGACGUUUCGGUCGAAUGUUUGGUUCACAAGGUUUAUGGUAUUGGGUAUAUGGGAUUAUGGUUCAUGAACUUGGUGUAUGGUUUGUGGUUUAUGAUUCAUGGCUCAUGAACUUGAUUCAUAGUUCAUGGAUUUGGUGUAUGACACACACACACCGAGCGACGCAGACGCAUAUUACACGCGGCGGUCUCUCGAAGCGCUGCCCCCCGCUUUGACGUCGAAGGCCGCGCAGCGCCGCCAUUCGUCGGAUGUCAUGCCGAGCCAGCGCCAUGCACCGACUCUGUUCGUGACGACAUCCGUUCGACGCCGCAGCGCCGUCGCGACCUUUGAAUGGCUCGACACCGCCAGGAGUUCCUCUGUGCGCAGUCGCUCACGCGCUCCGGAAGCCGCAGCCCGUCGAUCCGCGCCCGCUAGUCGUGGCUUUCACCGUGCAGGAGCGUCGGCACGCGCCCUGCCUCCCGUCGCAGGUGCUCUAGAUCGCGCGCUCCACUGUCGGCGUCACAGCCCCCAGCGGAGCUCCGGAUCAACAACAGCCCGCAGCUGCUCGACGGCGAUCUGAGAGAGAAGCGGUGCUCUCCUCUCCAAAACGGGGUUCCGCCUGCCAAGUGCUUGAUGGGCCCGCGGCAGUCCGCCCACCAGACCUGCUCGAGCGCGCGAUCUUGAGAGAUGAAGCGGUGCCUCCUCUCAAACGGGUUCGCGCCCGGCCAAGUGCUGACUGUCCCCCGGAGUCCGCCCACCAACGCCGCUCGACGGACGAACCUGAGAGGAGGAGCGGUGCCUCUCCUCUCAAACGGGUCGCCCGCCAAGUGCUUGAUGUGCACGGCAGUCGCCACCAACACUCGACGGCGAACCUGAGAGAGAGAGCGGUUCUCUUCUCCUCAAACGGGUCUCCGCACCGCCAAGUGCUCGAUGUGCCCCCUGGAGUCCGCCCCACACCCGCUCGAGACGACGAAUCUAAGAGAGGAGAGCGGCUGCUCUCCUCUCAAACAACGGCAAAUACGCAGAGAGAGAGAGAGAGCGGUGCUCUUCUCUCCAAUGAAGUUAAGAUCGCUCCGCCAAGUGCCUCGACGGCGAAAUUGAGAGAGAGAGCGGGCUGCUGCUCUCUCAAAUGAAGUCAAGUACGCCAACCGCCCCUCCCGCGCGACGACGAAUCCCGAGAGAGGAGACAGCGGUGCUCUCCUACUCAAACAAGUUCCGCCACCGCAUAAUGUGCUCGGCGGCCGAAUCAUAUGAAGAAGCGAUGCUGGCUCAUUUACGACCAAUCAUUCGACGAAAUAGCUUCGUGUCCGACGUGCUACAUCAAACCUCGAUGAAUCCGAGAUGAACAUCGGUGGUGCCUCUUUGCAAAAUAUCACCAAAAAGCAGAGAUCAACUCUAAAAAGAGAGACGAAGCUUUGACAAACUAUUAAGACGUCUUCAAAUUAAAACUUGAAUUAAAGUUUGUUAUUCAAAUCGCGCAGAAUUUGAAGAAAAUGUAUAUGAAAUCUUAAUUGAUCACAAACAUUUUUUUUUUUAAAUAAAACCUCGAGACAUGAAUCUAGGCCCGAUCAUAUGGACCUACAGUCAUUGAACCUCAACCCAUCCGUCAUUAAAUCAACACUUUGACUCGGAAACCGCAUUUAACCAAUCUACUCUAACCAUUAACCUUAACCUCUCUAAAAAUCCCAUUAACUGUUACCCCACUAACCCAAUCCUCAUACACCCAAUCCAAUUAAACCUUAGCCCAAUAUCUAAACCCAUAACCUAUACACCCAAUCCAGAUUAAAUCUAGGCCUUAGUCCAAAGCCCAGAGCCCAUAUAAUACAAAUGGCACGCAGUCCAAAACGCCAUUUGGCGGCCACCUAUCUACAGCCCCAUUAUCCAAAACUUCCAAAUUAAAGCACCAUUAAACAUAAACCCAUAUACAUAAACAUAUAUACACGGCAUUAGGUACCCAUGAACCCAUAUACAAUUCUAACCCAUAUCCAAGCCCAAUCAACAAUUAACCUAAGUCCAUGAACUUUGAACGCAAAACCAUGGAAACCAAACNNNNNNNNNNNNNNNNNNNNNNNNNNNNNNNNNNNNNNNNNNNNNNNNNNNNNNNNNNNNNNNNNNNNNNNNNNNNNNNNNNNNNNNNNNNNNNNNNNNNGAAUUUCAUUGUACAGUUAGUUUACUAUCACUUGUGUUUGUUGCUUGCCUUCGUGCAAGCCAUGUAUAUUGAAAUGCGAUCCUGGGAAUUAUUUAUUUCUUUAUACAUGUACUCGUUGUUGUUGAGCCUUGGGCGAACAGAGGAGGUGCUGUUCGUUCGGCGUCUGUGCGCGGGCCCGGAUCGACCAAAUUGGCGAUAACGGGACGUGACACGGUGGCCCCUGGUUCUAUGGAAUUGGAGGCGGAGAAAGAACGGACUUUGGCGGCCCUAAUGACUUUCAAAAAAUUUGAUCCGCCUAUCUUCGACGGAGAGAAUGUCGAUCCGUGGAUCGUGGAGAUGUGGAUUGACUCCAUGGAAACGCUCUUCGAGUAGCUAUACACCUUGGAGCGGGACAAGGUGCCCCUAGCUGUGCAUUGCUUGAAGCAAUCAGCAAAGGCGUGGUGGAAAGGCAUUCGACGGGAUCGAUCGCCUAGUCUUCCUCCUAUGGCGUGGGAUGAGUUUCGGGGAUUAAUGUUUUCUACGUACUUCCCCGACACUGAAAGGAGAAAGCUUCGGGACGAGUUCAGGAAGCUGCGGCAAGGAGACCGCUUUGUGAGGGAAUACGAACGGGAAUUUUCCCGCAUCAUGAAUUGUGUCCCGAAUGUGGUACGGGAUGACAAGGAUAGGGCCGAUUGGUUCCUGCGUGGACUCCGACCGGAGAUUUACAGGAGGAUGCAAAUCUUCGAGCUCACAACCUUUGCGGAGGUGUUGGAUCGGGCGUUGUGGGCAGAGCAUGGUGAGGCUUUCGUGCGUGAGGAGCGCGAAUCUCGUAGGCAUGAGCGAGGAGGGGUGAGGCCAUUAUCGAGUGGUUCGGGUGGUCAGUCGAGUUCUAGACACCGCUCGAGGUUAUCCUCUACCCGAUCUUCCUCCGAAUGUGUGAUUUGUGGCGGUUCCUACCAGGCGCGGCGAUGUGCGCUGCGUUAUGGACGGUGUAUCCGUUGUGGACAGCCCGGCCAUAUGCGGGACGAGUGCCCGCAAGGUGAGAGCCAGGCCUUGAUGCUGGCGACGGCCCAUUCCUCUCUGGGACAGCCUGCAGGUGUGCCACCUGCGGCAUGGUCGGGGGAGCGGCCGUUGAGGACGAUGCAACCGGAGGGUUCACGGCGAGCACCAAGUGGCCAGGGAUAUGCGACCCAGGUUGAGGAACCUGCUACCAUCAAUGAUGCCGUUGCAGGUAUGAGUUAAUUAAAUAAGCAUAUGCUUUUGCGUAAUCUCAAGUUGAUGCAUUGCAUGCAUUGAUCAUAUGAUCAGCACCUACUAAUUACAUAUUGCAUAGUAGGGACCGAGUGGACGGGUAGGUAGGCACCCGAGCAUGCUUGCAUCGUGAGAGUGUAAUGCCUGCUGGAGCAGGUAGAAAGCCAAGUGGUACUAGCAAAUCGCUAGCGAUGGUUCUUGGACGAAGAAUGGGACUCAUAGUGAACGUGAAAUGGUGGAGCGACUCUCAAGGCAAUGAGUAUCGAAUUGCGAGAGUUGUGCCGUGGCAUUACGAAUACCCGAGUGGUCUAAGCAUCUCGGAUAUUGUUUCGGUAGAUCGAACAGUGAGAGUAGAAUCACUGUUGAGAGAGCGGUUGGUUGAGGCCAAGUUUGGCCUGUGGGCCUAGUAGUACCUCGAAUUGAGGUGGACGAGCUGUGGGCCUAGUAGUACCUCGAAUUGAGGUGGACGAGUUGUUGCUCGUGUGGCCGGUGCGCAUGGGCUAAGCUCCCUGAUGCUGGACUUCGUGUGAGACAUCAUAGAGGCAUAGAGCGCUCGAGUAUAGAUACUCGUGAAGUGCGGUUUUGAUUCAGUCGGUCGAGUGAAUUGGCAGUAGCACUUCAGCAGGGCUAAGUGUGAAGCGGGCAAUAGAUCACUCGUGAGGGCUGGUGGCUUGCACUAGGUGCCUAGAAGCCGAUAGAGUGUGUAGCUUUGUAGAGCAUGUCGUGUAGGACGACGUUGACGUGUAGUGAUUGGGGACGACCCGUGCCUGGACCAGUUGUGGACUGUGAAGCCUGGGCCCUUUGGGCAGGCGCAGUCAGCUGUGAGAGCCGGCAGCCCGAUACCUAUAGGUACGACGACGAGUUUUGGUCAGGACGGUAGUCCGAGCUUAGACCCGAGUACGUGGAAUGCCACGUGUUAAAUCGUGAGAUCGAGGACACACCGAAUGUGUGGUGACCCAACCCGAGGACAUGAUGUAGUUUGGGAUUUUGGUUGCUCCUGGUUGGAGUGUGUGCGAAUUCUCCAAUGAGAAUGUCGCCCGAUGAUGAUUGGGUCUACGAUGCGGGCAAGAGACGCUAUGCGUAGUUACGACAGGUUUAGGCGAUAGGCCUACGUAGUGUUUGGGAUCAUUGGUCCACCUGUGGAAGCCGACGUAAUCGGUUUAGCCGAAAACUCCGUGAAGGAGUUGGUGUAAGGAAGUGAAUUCUUGAAAUACGAGAGUUGAACUUGCUCAAAAUCGACUAAUUGUCGAGUGAGAGUGCUUCGCAAAAGCCGAAGAAGUCAAAUGCACCAAAAGUGCAUUACAAUGGAGUCCGCGAGAGCAAAUAGUGCAAGAAUUUGCACUUAGCAAAUUUGCUCUCGGGGACCGGUCCCUGGAGGGAGGGACCGGUUCCCGAACGUGGUCUGCGCGAGCUUGCUCUCGGGGACCGGUCCAAGGAGGGAGGGACCAGUUGCCCCGAGGUUGAGGGUUGCGCAGCAUAGGGCAACCGGUCCCCUGGCAGGAGAGACCGGUCCCCGAGCAUGAAACUUGCCCAGGCAGGCUGGGUUAUGUUGGAAAACUUGGAGAUAACGCUCUUUCGUGGAUUGAAGUUCGAGAGAUGUGCCGGGGUAGGCCAUCUCGUAGUUGAGCGAUUUGAGGUUAGAAGUGGCAAUUGAGAGGUAAAGGAAAGUGGUCUCUUGGAGACACUUGAAUACCUGAUAGCCACAUGGAAUUGCGGACAAUGCUCUCUUGUGGAUUAAGAGUCGAGAUAUGCCGGGGUAGGCCAUCUCGCGGUAGAGCAAGGUCCAAAUGUGAUUGGAGCACUCGCGAUGGGCCGAUGCACCAAUGAUAUUGCUUCUAAGCAAUGCCGGUAAUCGAAUCGGAGUGUGUUUCCUGAUAAGGUGUGGAAUGCAGAGAAGAGUUCUUGCAUGCCAGAUGGAAAAUGGUGUUGGAGCGUGUGGAGUCGUUGAGCUUCGACUUGCGCUACCACCAGGAAUGACGGAGACCCGUAAUGCACUUUCGGAGUUACGCUUAGCAAAUGUGAGUGAAUCUAGUCUCACAUCCUCCAUGGUGAGCCUUUGGAUGAUUCCAAUGAGUGAAAGGCCACCCCGAAAUAUAAAAGUGCAUUGGAACCCUAUGUUGCUCAAUAAGCCAAGUUGGAGUAUUAAUUGGGUUGAAGUGAGUUAGUUUCGGGGACGAAACUCUUUUAAGGAGGGGAGGAUGUAAGGUACCGGACUUUUAAAAUUAUGAAGUUAUGGUGUACGUUGCUUUGGAAAGCCAUUUGAAUGGUUCCGGUGAAGUUCGGUGAGGUUCGAGAGCAAUCGGGCUUUUCGGUGCGCGUAGGCACGGAAACAGAAUCCGAAAUGCUAAGUUGGGCCGUGAGCUAAAUCCGGCAUUAGCGAGGAUGGAAAGAUGAUGAAAACAUGUUUGAAAACAUGUUUGGAGAGUCUCGGUUCGAUUUGAAAUGAAUCGGAGGUCAAACGGAGCAAAAACGGACGAAGCUGAAAAUUGGCUAAGUCUGGGCUAGAGUUCUCUCUGGGACCGGUCCCAGGCAGAGAGACCGGUCUCUCAGGGACCAAUCCCUCAUGCAGAGACCGGUCCCCGAACCCCGAAAAUGCCUAGUUCGGGCUGUUGCAAGAGAGGCAUUGUUGAGGGACUUAUAUGCAAUUGUUGCAUGGGUUAAGUGUAUAGAGAGGGUUAGAACACCCCUCUCUCUCUCUUUUCCGUCAACAUAGCUUAGGGGUAUAAAAAAUGAAAGGAACAAAAUGUAUUUAACUUGUAAUAACUUAAUUGCUUGGGAAGUUGAAUGUAAUAUAUAAGGUGCGAUGUAAAUAAAUGAAUCUAAUGUGAAUGUAUGUAAUAACAUAGGAUGUGUUAUGUUGUGAUACUUUCCUUAUGCAAUCAUGAUUGAUAUCUGUUCCUGGUUGGAACCAUUGUAAUGUAUAUUGUUUGGAUUGCGCGCCUAGAACGUACAGGGGAGACUCUGUCCGCGUACAGGGGAGACUCUGUCCGCGUACAGGGGAAACCCCGGUCCAUUCGGCGGUCUGUCGUCGGCGCCGCGACCCGGUCCAAAUUGGCGGUUGGUCGCGGGGCGUGACAAGACUGGUUUACCAGGGACCGGUCCCUCACGUGAGGACCAGUUCCCGUACGCCAAAAGUCCCCAGACUGCAGGGAGAGCACUCGGGCACCGGUCUCCCCGACCAGGGACCGGUCCCUCUGGGCGAAAACAGCCCAGUGACAGCUGCGUGCGAGAUGAAAAGUUGAGGGGUCUAAAUGCAAAAUGGCCUUUAUUAGAGAGGGCUGAGCCCCCUUUCUCCCUCACACUCUCAUAUUCUCUCUCUUUCACACUCUCUUUCUCUCUUGCUCUCUCCCUCUAGAAAGGAAAGGAGAAGAAGAAGAACAAGAAGGAGAGGAAGGAAAAGAAGAAGAAGACAAGGAAGGAGAAGAAAAAGGAAAUCAAGAAGAAGGCUUUGAGCACCUUCAUCUCCCUCUCCUCUUCUCUUUGGCGUAGCACAAGAGGUAAGCUCUUGAACCCUAGCUUCAAAAUUUGGGGUUUUUGGGUUUUGGUGCUUUGGAAUGGGUCAAAUGGACCCUAAGCAUGCUUCUAAGUAGAUCAAUCCCAUAAAUUUAGGGAUUUAAUGGAUGGUUUGCUAUAGGUGCAAACCUAGGGCUCCAAAAUGGGGAUUUUGUGAAAAUAUGAGAUUGAUCUCAUUUGAAGCCUUGGAAACCCUAUUGUUAGAUCACAAAACGUGGGGGCGACGUCGGUUUUGACAUUCAGCGAACCGGCGUGAAGUUCUCGGCAAAAUAGGGCCGGGCUAGUGUUGACUUGGGCAAAGAAGGCUAAAGCCUUUUCGUAAAGUUCGCCGAGAAGGAUUUCCGAAGCCCCGACAUUGAUUAAAGGUGGGGGGUGCCAUCCCGAAGCUUUCGGACUCCUUUCUAUGUCUUAGAUUGCAUUUGAUCUCACUCUUCAUGUCGCAUUGUAGGAUUGCAUAGUAGCUCCAUUCCUUAUGCUUUCUAAUUGAUAACCUAGUGUACUUGGAACGCUUGGUAACUUAAAUAGGUGAGGAUUGGGUCGGAACGUGGAUCCUAUGAUGUGAAUGAAAAGAGAUGUACCCAAUGGGGGUGUCGAUGACAUAGAAAGUAGUGUUAAUGUUAAAGAACAAACGAGUGGUAUUCAAAUGUUAAAUGAUGACGAGUGGCAUUAAUGUAGUGUAAAUAACACUAGAGGUUUGAGAACCUAGGGAUAGGUGAUCCCUUAGAAAAUGCCUUGUGAACAAGAAGUUAGUAAACCUAAGUAGCCUCACAUGGAGAGGUUGUCGAUGAGUCGAUUGAGACAUUGACCCUAGUGGUAGGGCUUCCUCACUUGGAGAGGAUCUGAUUGGGUUGUGGACCCUAGUUAUAGUGCUUCCUCACUUGGAGAGGAUUCGAUUGGGUAUUGACUCUAGUUGUAGAGCAUCCUCACUUGGAGAGGACUUGAUUGGGUUGUUGACCCUAGAUGUAGGGCAUCCUCACUUGGAGAGGAUAGAUCUAGCUCACAGUCUGCGUUUGGGAUGGUAUAGCCAUCCAAUCCCCACAUGGAGGGGAUUGUCGUCGAGUACUCCGGAGUGUCGUGCGACUAGGACCACUUGGAGGUCCGGACCACAUGGAGGUCUGUAGACGGUCCCGGGCUUGGGUGCACUUGGAGCUCCCUCCCCACUUUGGGAUUGAAAGGGUGAGUUAUAGGCGAGCCCUAGGGCCUCGCCACAGAUUGGGUAAACGAAAAGGCUAAAGGUUUAACAAUGUCAUUGAACAUUACUAUUCGAACAUGGAUCGAAUUUGUUAGCAUGGUAGCAAACCUUUAUUAUAUGAUGCAUGCAUUCAUAUUUAUGAUUAUGGGCAUAGUAGCAUAGUUUUCCUACUAUCGCAUUUACAGUUUUCAGAUACAUAUCUAUCUAUCUAUCUGUUGUUACUUGUGCCCACUUGGACCUAGUGGGAAGAUCGGCAGAGUCGGCGGCCGAGCCCACUGGGAACUAUGGAAGAUAGUUCUCACCCCACUCUAUUUCCAGUGGUAGGUUCAGGGCUGCAGAGAGAGGACCGCGGCAAGGGCGUCGCGCCCGACCAGUGAGACCGUGGUAGUAUAGUAGCUUUCCUUUUUGCAUUAGUCACCUAUGUAUUGAGAGAGAUUCAUGUAGGUGAGGUCGGAGAGCUAUGUAUUUUGAGGAUCAAAUGUAUUCACUUGGGAAAAUGAUGUAACUAUUGUAAUAGUUAGUAAAGUACUCUCUUUAUUUCACUUGUAUAUCUUGUGGAUUACUUGCUCUUCUUGUUGUUGGCACUGUUUGUGCCCUCGUUGAAUGUGUAUGUUUAGAAUUUAAAGUCCUGGGUAAAUUCUUGUACACAUUCCUGUUGUUGAGCCUUGGGCGGACAGGGGAGGUGCUGUCCGUUCGGCGGUCCGUCGCCGCGGCCGAACCGUGCCAAAUCGGUAGUGGUUUCGGGGCGGGGCGUGACAGCCUUUGUGGUAUCAGAGCCAUAAGAGCAAGUAAAGAGAGUUUAGGAAGACCUAGGAGACCCUAGGUUGGCAAGCCUUAAGGUUAUAGGUGCGUGAGCGGAACGUGAACCUAUGGCGAUGGCGGAAGUUAAGUCAAUUGGGUCGAAGUUGGUAUAGGUCUCUAGUUGAGAUUAGAGACGAAUUCGAGUUGUACGAGUUCUUGACUUGAGGUGGUUGUGUCGGCGGCCGACGACAUGAUGCCAAGAGUCUAGGACGAGUACGCUUGUGUGCUUCCGCCCGAUUUUGUGAAUGAGUCGUCAUGCGUCGUAGUGCGACGAGACAGNAGGACCGCGGCAAGGGCAUAGCGCCCGAUCAGUGAGACCGCGGUAGUAUAGUAGCUUUCCCUUUUGCAUUAGUACACCUAUGUAUUGAGAGAGAAUCAUUGUUGGUAAGGACUUAGAGAGCUAUGUAUUUUGGAUGAAUGAUAUACUCAUUUAAAGAAAAUGAUGUAAAUGAAAUGAUGAAACUAUUGUAAUAGUUAGUAAAGUACUCUCUUUAUUUCACAUGCUUUAUCUUGUGGAUUACUUGCUCAUGUAUUGUUGGCACUGAUUGUGCCCUUGUGAAUGUGUAUGUUUAGAAUUUAAAUUCCUGGGUAAAUUCUUGUGCACAUUCCGGUUGUUGAGCCUUAGGCGGAUAGGGUAGGUGCUGUCCGUUCGGCAAUCCGCCUCUGUGCCAAAUUGGUAGUGGUUUCGGGGCGGGGCGUGACAUGAGGGCACAGCUACAGGAUUUGUUGGACAAGGGCUUCAUUCGACUGAGCGUCUCGCCGUUGGGAGCGCCAGUUCUGUUCGUUAAGAAAAAGGACGGAUCACUUCGUGUAUGUGUGGACUAUCGUGAACUCAAUAAAGUCACGAUCAAGAAUAAGUAUCCGUUGCCGAGGAUCGACGACUUCUUUGAUCAGCUUCAAGGAUCGUGUGUGUAUUCCAAGAUAGACUUGCAGUCGGAAUACCACUAGUUAAAGAUCAAACCCGAGGAUGUGUCAAAGACGGGUUUUAGAACACGGUAUGGACACUAUGAGUUCACAGUUAUGCCGUUUGGGCUUACUAAUGCCCCGACAGCUUUUAUGGAUCUGAAGAACCGUGUUUUUAUGCCUUAUCUAGACAGGUUCGUCGUGGUGUUCAUCGACGACAUCUUGGUUUAUUCCCGAAGUGAUGUAGAUCACGAGGAACAUUUGAGAAUUGUCUCCAAGUACUUCGGAAAAAGGAGCUUUUUGCCAAGUUGAGAAAGUGUGAAUUUUGGCUUCGAGAGGUAGCCUUCCUAGGACACUUGAUUUCAGGAUCAGGUAUAGCCGUGAAUCCCAAGAAGAUUGAAACCAUCAAGGAUUGGCCGAGACCGACGAGUGUUACGGAGAUUCAGAGUUUCCUUGGACUGGCCGGUUACUACCGGAGAUUUGUCGAGGGGUUCGCUAAGCUAUCUACCCCCCUCACGAGGCUCACGCAUAAAGGUCUCAAGUUCAUCUGGAAUGAUGCGUGCGAAAGAAGCUUCCAAGAGUUGAAGCAACGACUGACGACCGCCCCGAUCCUGACCCUACCUGUGGCUGGAGUAGGGUAUGUGAUUUAUAGUGAUGCAUUUCUUAAUGGAUUGGAUUACGUUUUGAUGCAGGAUGGCAAGGUGAUUGCGUAUGCUUCCCGCCAACUGAAGGAAUAUGAAAAGAGUUACCAUACGCAUGAUUUGGAGUUGGCGGCCGUAGUCUUCGUAUUGAAGUUAUGGCGCCACUAUCUUUAUGGCGAGCGGUGUGAAGUGUACACGGAUCACAAGAGCCUCAAAUGCCUGUUUACUCAGAAGGAGUUGAACUUGAGACAGCGCAGAUAGUUGGAGCUGCUCAAGGAUUAUGAUUUGACUAUUCUUUACCACCCGGGCAAGGCUAACGUGGUGGCGGNCGAGGAAGUUGGUUAAAGUGAUUAACCAAGUGGUUGCGUUUCAGGAGCUAUGGCACCGAAGAGACGCCCAAGUACGAGAUCCACUCCGGCACCGCCACCCGAGGUGCCCGAGCAGACGGAGCCGAGCAUGAUGGAUCGGCUGCAGGCACAAGUGACCGCGUUGACUAACAUGGUGCAGCGCCAGGAGACCCGAUUCGAGAGGCUCCAGGAGCUUAUGGAGCGACAGCUCGCGGCAGCGCCCGCGACAGUGGCUGAGGGCGGUGGUCCGCCCGCGCCCUCGACCCGUGUACCCGAGGUGGCAGAGGGUGAGGGUAUAGCGGCGGUUCCGGUGACGGCACGCCCACCGCCAGCGAUCGCACCAUAGGCGGCAUCGGGAUCGGCUACACCCGAUGUGUCGGCCGAAGAUGUGGAAGGAGAGCGCGCGUUGGCGGCUCUUAUCAAGUUCAACAAGUUCUCUCCGCCAACUUUUGAGGGCGAGAAGGUGGAACCGGAGAUGGUCGAGUCUUGGAUCGACUCGAUGGAAACCCUCUUCGACGACUUGCGUACCCUGGAGAGGGACAAGGUGUACCUCGCCACCCAUUGCUUGGAGAAGGCGGCGAAGAUUUGGUUGAAGCGUGUUAAGCGGGAUCGACUUCCCGGCCUUCCGCCGAUGUUGUGGGAGGAAUUUAAGCGGGAGAUGUUCGCCAACUAUUUCCCCGAUACACUGAAGCGGAAGCUCAAGGAGAAAUUCCGCAAGUUGGAGCAAGGGGACCGCUCAGUGGCGGAGUAUGAACAAGAAUUCUCCUACAUCAUAGAUUGUGUUCCGGAUGUUGUCAAGGAUGACCGGGACCGGGCCGAGUGGUUCUUGCGAGGACUUCGGCCGGGAAUCUACAAGGCCGUGCAAAUACUUAAGCUUACGACCUUUGCUGAGGUCUUUGAUCGAGCAUUAUGGGCGGAGCACGGAGACGCCCACGUUCGGGAGAAGCGUGAGCUUUUGGCGAAGUCCAAGGACAAGGGCAAGAAACGCCAAGGCGGCGGUAAUUCGGGUGGUCAGACACGUUACAAGAAACCCCCGAAGUAUGCGCGCACUCAACAGAAGAGCGGUGGAGUGCGGCGAUGCAUGAUAUGCGGCGGAGACCACCCGGUCUCGCGCUGUGAACAAGGCCGGGGCAAGUGCUACAAAUGUGGGCAGCCGGGACACUUUAUUCGAGAUUGCCCGGGAGGAGGAGCCUCACCUGCCCCUUCAAUUGCAUCGGCGCCGGCGAUUCCGACCCACUAUGGAGGAGCCCCACCGGCGGCUGCGACGACUAGACGCGCAAUGACGUCGCGUCAACCCGAUGCGGCGCGAUCAGCCCCAAGCGGACGGGUAUUCGCCGCUCAGGUCCAAGCUGAGGAACCUGCAGAGGCGGAGGAGCAUCGCCUUGUGGCAGGUAUCGUUUUAAUUAACGGAGUUCGCUCCAGGGCUUUAUUUGAUACAGAAGCCACGCAUUCAUUCAUAAGUAGAUCAUUCGCACGCAUGCAUGGCAUACAUAUAGAAGCGAGUGACAAGUGGCGAGUAGAGGGCCCUGGGUCGACAUUUAAUACCUACUCGGAGUGCGCCUCGUGUCCGGUGCAAAUAGGCGAAUGGAUUAUGCCAAUCCGGACGUUGGAACUCCCGAAACUAGAGGCGUACGAUGUCAUACUGGGUAUAGACUGGCUUUCAAAGUAUCAUGCAACGAUCGACUGCAAGAGCAGGGUGAUCACGUUCCGUGAGCCAGGACAAGAAGAAUUCACCUAUCAAGCUUGCCAGAGCUCGUGCUUCGUCGCGACGGUGUCGGCGACAAGGGCAAGAAAGUUGGUGAGCAACGGUUGUGCGGCAUUUUUGGCAACUGUUGUGGAAGUGGAACGAGUAGCUCCAACAUUGGAAGAGCUAUUGGUGGUGCGGGAGUUCCCGGAUGUGUUUCCCGCGGAGUUGCCGGGGAUACCGCCGGAUCGGGAGAUCGAGUUCGUUAUAGACUUGAUUCCCGGCACCGCACCGAUCUCGAAGGCCCCGUACCGCAUGGCGCCGGCGGAACUAAAGGAGUUGAGGAGUCAACUGCAAGACCUCCUCGACAAGCAAUUUAUCCGGCCCAGUGUAUCACCGUGGGGAGCCCCGGUGUUGUUUGUACGGAAGAAGGACGGAUCGUUUCGACUCUGCGUGGACUACCGAGAAUUGAACAGAGUCACGAUCAAGAAUAAGUACCCACUACCCCGAAUCGAUGACUUGUUCGAUCAGUUGCAAGGGUCGUGUGUGUACUCGAAGAUAGACUUGCAAUCCGGCUACCACCAAUUGAAGAUCAAGCCGGAGGACGUGCAGAAGACCGCAUUUCGUACGCGGUAUGGACAUUACGAAUUCACGGUCAUGCCAUUUGGGCUCACAAAUGCCCCAGCGGCAUUUAUGGAUUUGAUGAACCGUGUCUUCAGGAAGUUCUUGGAUCGAUUUGUCGUGGUCUUCAUAGACGACAUAUUGGUCUAUUCUCGUAGCGACGAGGAACAUGCCGAGCAUUUGAGAAUAGUGCUUCAAGUCCUUCGGGAGGAGAAGCUAUAUGCUAAGUUGAAGAAGUGUGACUUCUGGCUCCGAGAAGUCGCAUUUCUAGGGCAUGUAAUUUCCGCGGGUGGAGUUUCUGUAGACCCGAGGAAAGUUGAGGCAAUCAAGGAUUGGCCGCGCCCGACGAAUGUCACGGAGGUUCGAAGCUUCGUGGGCUUAGCGGGCUACUAUAGGCGGUUUGUGGAAGGCUUUUCAAAGAUAGUGAUUCCACUUACUCGUCUAACCCAGAAAGGCACCAAGUUCGUUUGGAGCGAAGAAUGCGACCGGAGUUUCAAAGAGUUGAAGCAAAGAUUGACUUCGACUCCGGUGCUCGCUCUACCGGUGCAGGGCGAAGACUUUGUGGUCUAUAGUGAUGCCUCCUAUCUUGGGUUGGGGUGUGUGUUGAUGCAAAACGGGAAGGUGAUUGCCUACGCAUCCCGUCAGCUGAAGAGCUACGAGAAGAACUACCCCAUCCAUGAUUUGGAGCUAGCGGCGGUGAUAUUCGCCUUAAAGCUGUGGAGGCACUAUUUAUAUGGUGCCCACUGUGAGAUCUAUACCGACCACAAGAGCUUAAAGUACUUGUUUACUCAGAAGGAGCUCAAUAUGCGUCAGCGGCGGUGGUUGGAGCUGUUAAAGGAUUAUGAUGUCGAUAUCCUCUACCACCCCGGGAAGGCAAAUGUGGUCGCGGACGCACUAAGUAGGAAGUCGGCGAAGAACCUCGCAUUUGAUGUUACCCAGCAAACACCUCUGUGGCUGGAUAUGGAGCGAUUGGACCUUGAAGUGGUCGCUCCCGAGGUCCCGACUCAGCUGAUGGCACUCGUUGUCCAACCGACCUUGUUGGAGAGGAUUAAAGAUCUGCAACCCGCAGACCCAGAGCUCCAAAAGGUGCGGCGAAACAUCGAGGAAGGGCGUGGCGGCGAUUUCAGUAUAAACGCCGAUGGUGCGCUUCGGUUUAGAAACCGAUGGUGUGUGCCGAAAGAUGGAGAGCUUCGCGAAUUGAUUCUACAAGAAGCACACAGAUCUCCGUAUGCUGAUCACCCGGGCGGCACCAAAAUAUAUCGAGGAUUGAAAAUGCAUUACUGGUGGCCGGGAAUGAAGAUGGAGAGCUUCGCGAAUUGAUUCUAUAAGAAGCACACAGAUCUCCGUAUGCUGAUCACUCGGGCGGCACCAAAAUGUAUCGAGGAUUGAAAAUGCAUUACUGGUGGCCGGGAAUGAAGGGUGAAAUUGGGCGCUUUGUGGCGAAGUGCUUAACGUGCCAGCAAGUAAAAGCAGAGCGUCGGUUCCCAGCGGAAAAACUUCAAAGCCUACCAAUCCCCGUUUGGAAAUGGGAGGAUAUCUCGAUGGACUUCGUGGUCGGCUUGCCUCGCUCAACGGGCGGCCACGAUGCAAUUUGGGUAAUUGUGGACCGAUUAACUAAGUCGGCUCAUUUCUUGCCGAUCCACACCACGUGGUCAGGUGACAAGUUAGCGCAGGUAUAUCUCGACGAGAUAGUGAGACUACAUGGGGUGCCGAAAUCGAUCGUAUCGGAUCGUGACCCCCGGUUCACUUCACACUUUUGGAAAAGCCUGCAAGAAGCCCUUGGCACGCGGCUCGAUUUUAGCACCGCAUUUCAUCCUCAGACCGAUGGGCAAACAGAGAGAACAAUUCAAACUCUGGAGGAUAUGUUGCGAGCGUGUGUCAUCGACUAUAAGGGAAGUUGGUGUGACCACCUACCCAUGGCCGAGUUCGCCUACAACAACAGUUAUCAUGCUAGUGUGGAGAUGGCACCGUUCGAGGCUCUUUACGGGCGGACGUGUCGGUCUCCUAUACACUGGAGCGAUGUUGGCGAGCGUGCGGAGUUCGGCCCGGAUGUGUUGCGAGAAGCGGAGGAGAAAGUCCGCCUUGCUCGCAAGAGAUUGCUCACGGCGCAGUCAAGACAGCAAAGUUAUGCGGAUAGGCGCCGUCGAGAUAUAGAAUUCGCAGUGGGUGACCGCGUAUUCUUGAAGGUUUCACCCAUGCGGGGUGUGAAGCGGUUUGGAGUGCGGGGAAAGCUAAGUCCCCGAUAUAUUGGACCAUAUGAGAUAUUAGAGCGAGUCGGCACGGUGGCCUACCGACUUGCUCUACCGCCGAAGCUUGCGGACGUACAUAAUGUGUUCCAUGUCUCCAAUCUCCGCAAGUACAUUCACGACCCCGAGCACGCAAUGCUAUAUGAACCGCCGGAACUUCAAGAAGACUUGAGCUAUGAAGAGUUUCCGGUAGGGAUUAUCGCCCGAGAGGUGCGAAAGCUGAGGAAUCGAGAAAUCCCCUAUGUGAAAAUUUGGCGGAGCAAUCACGAUGAUCGCGAGGCCACCUGGGAACUCGAGGAGCUGAUAAGGAAACACCAUUCUCAUCUGUUCGAGGGGUAAGGUAUGAGUUUAAAUUAAAGUUAGGAAAUUGUUCGUUUCGAGGACGAAACUCCUUUUAAGGAGGGGAGGAUGUAAGGAAGUGAAUUCUCGAAAUAUGAGGAUUGUACUUCAUCCAGGAUCGACUAAUUGUCGAAAGUAUACCCUUUGUGGGAGUUGAGAAUGUCCAAAGCACAAAAAGUGCCUUGGAGUUGAGUCCGCGAGAGCAAAUGAGGCAAAUUGCAUCAUUGGGCUGAUGUUGCUCUCGGGGACCGGUCUCUGCAGGUGAGAGACCGGUUCCCCUGGCUGGGCGUAGCGGGGUUGCGUGAUGCAACCGGUCCCUGGCAGGGAGGGACCGGUUCCCGAACGUGGUCCCAGCGAGAGAUGCCAAAAAUUGGCUAAGUCCUGAAAAUCGAGCUCUCGGGGACCGGUCUCUCAGGUGAGGACCGGUCUCCCGAGGACCGGUCUCCCGGGGAGAGACCGGUUCCCGAACGCGUGCGCCCGAGGGAAGCUCUCGGGGACCGGUCCCAAGUCGGGGAGACCGGUCCCUCCGCGCGAAAACUGCCCAGUGAGGGCAGUGCACAGGGGUGAAAGUUGAGGGGCUUUUAUGCAAAAUGGCCUUUAUUUGAGUGGGCUGAGCCCUCUCUCUCCCUCACACUCUCUCAUUUCACUCUCUCUCACUCUCAUUUCUCUCUUGCUCUCUCUCUCUCUAGAAAGGAAAGAAGGAGAAGAAGAACAAGAAGGAGAGGAAGGAAAAGAAGAGGAAGAUAAGGAAGGAGAAGAAGAAGGAGAUCAAGAGGAAGGCUUUGAGCACCUCCAUCUCCCUCUCCUCUUCCCAUUGGAGUAGCUCUUGAGGUAAGCUACUAAACCCUAGCUUCUAGAACUUAGGGUUUUUGGGUUUUAUGCCUUGGAAUGGGUCAAAUGGACCCUAAGCAAGCUUCUAAAUAGAUCAAUCCCAAGAAUCUAGGGAUUUAUGGGGUGGUUUGCUAUAGGUGCAAAUCUAGGGUUCCAAAAUGGGGUUUUUGUAAAAGUAUGAGAUUGAUCUCAUUUGAAGCCUUGGAAACCCUAUUGAUAGGUCCCAAAACGCGGGGGCGAAGUCGAUUUUGGCAUUCGGCGAACCGACGUGAAGUUCUCGGCAAAAUCGGGCCGGGCUAGUGUUGAUUCGGGCGAGGAAGGCUAAAGCCUUUUCGUAAAGCUCGCCGAGAGAGAUUUCCGAAACCUCUACAUCGAUUAAAGGUGGGGGGUGUCAUCCGAAACUUUCGAACUCCUUUCUAUGUCUUAGAUUGCAUUUAAUCUCAUCUCUUCAUGUUGCAUUGUAGGAUUGCAUAGUAGCUCCAUUCCUUAUGCUUUCUAAUUGAUAACCUAGUGUACUUGGAACGCUUGGUAACUUAGAUAGGUGAGGAUUGGGUCGAGACGUGAAUCCUAUGGUGCGAAAGAAAAGAGAUGAACCCGAUGGGGGUAUUGAUGACAUAGAAAGUAGUGUUAUUGUUAAAGAACAAACGAGUGGCAUCCAAACAUUGAAUGAUAACGAGUGGCAUUAAUGUAGUGUAAAUAACACUAGAGGUCGAUGGACCUAGGGAUAGGUGGAUCCCUUAGAAAAUGCCUUGUGAACAAUGAAUUUAGAAAACUAAAUAGCAUUGCAUGAAUGUCGGGAACCGAUGAUUCCGCGAUAGUCGUUGACCCUAGUGUAGGGCGUCCUCACUUGGAGAGGAUUCGAUUGGGUUAUUGACUCUAGUUGUAGAGCCUCCUCACUUGGAGAGGAUUGGAUUGGGUGUUGACCCUAGUUACAGUGUAUCCUCACAUGGAGAGGAUAGAUCUAGCUCACAGUCUGCGUUUAGGGUGGCAUAGCCAUCCAAUCCCCACAUGGAGGGGAUUGUCGUCGAGUACUCCGGAGUGUCGCGCGACUAGGACCACUUGGAGGUCCGGACCACAUGGAGGUCCGCAGACGGUCCCGGGCUUGGGUGCACUUGGAGCUCCCUCCCCACUUUGGGAUUUGAAGGUGAGUCAUGGGCGAGCCCUAGGGCCUCGCCACAGAUUGGGUAAAUGAAAAGGUUAAAGGUUUAUGAAUGUCAUUGAACAUUACUAUUCGAACAUGGAUCGAAUUUGUUAGCUUGGUAGUAAACCUUAUUAUAUGACGCAUGCAUUCAUAUUCAUGAUUAUGGGCAUAGUAGCAUAGUUUUCCUACUACUGCAUUUACAGCUUUCAGAUACAUAUCUAUCUAUCUAUCUGUUGUUACUUGUGCCCACUUGGACCUAGUGGGGAGAUCGGCAGAGUCGGCGGCCGAGCCCACUGGGAACUAUGGAAGAUAGUUCUCACCCCACUCUAUUUCCAGUGGUAGGUUCAGGGCUGCAGAGAGAGGACCGCGGCAAGGGCGUCGCGCCCGACCAGUGAGACCGUGGUAGUAUAGUAGCUUUCCUUUUUGCAUUAGUCACCCAUGUAUUGAGAGAGAUUCAUGUAGGUGAGGUCGGAGAGGUAUGUAUUCUGAGGAUCAAAUGUAUUCACUUGGGAAAAUGAUGUAACUAUUGUAAUAGUUAGUAAAGUACUCUCUUUACUUCACUUGUAUAUCUCGUGGAUUACUUGCUCUUCUGGUUGUUGGCACUGUUUGUGCCCUCGUUGAAUGUGUAUGUUUAGAAUUUAAAUUCCUGGGUAAAUUCUUGUACACAUUCCUGUUGUUGAGCCUUGGGCGGACAGGGGUGGUGCUGUCCGUUCGGCGGUCCGUCGCCGCGGCCGAACUGUGCCAAAUCGGUAGUGGUUUCGGGGCGGGGCGUGACACCGGUGAACCUCACUCAGGUUCUUCAAUCUGCAUCACUUCACGUGACAUUUAUAGUGCAUCGCCCAACCGCGAAUGCUCCAACCGCAUAAGGACUUCGGCUCUACUAUGAGAUGGCUCAUUUCGGCACAUCCGCCAACUUCGGUUCCUUAAGAGCCCAGUCUUUCCAAACCUCACGUGGCCUAAACCACUCCAACGUCUAUUGGAGAACAUCUCCAUUUCCCUAUCACGUCCCAACAUCGCAUCACUUUUGCGAUGAGUUACCAUGAACACUAUGUUCGAGCAUCCAAUCUUAACUCACCGACAACGCCAGACUGGGCGAUCCCAACUCGCGAGCAGUAUGACCGAGCCUCCGCUCCAAUGGUCACUAUGCUCAAACCACCAAGACCCUAUCGAUCAACUAGAUCGCUUAUCUUAAUUACCACAGGUGGUCCACAGACCAACCAUCCAACGUAGGCUUACCACCAACUCGUCUCGAUACUACGCAGCGUCUCUCAUUCAUAACGCAGACCCAAUCAUCACUUAGCGAAAGUCCUCAUUUGAGACUUCGCACACACUCCAACCAGGAGACCUCAACCACUCCAUAUCCUUGGGUCACAAUCACACUUACGACUCAUUAUAACGAGCCAUGUUCACUUCUAUCGGCUCUUAAACAUCUAAGCCCUCUCAAUUUCUAUAAUUAUAAAUAGCCUUUACUGGGCAAUUCCCGCAGUCGGGGACCGGUCUCUACCUCGAUGCAACCGGUCUCUCGGGACCGAUCUCUCGCCGAAGGAUCGGUUCCCGAGAGCUCGAUUUUCAGGACUUAGCCUAUUUUUCUCCUCUGUUCGGCUGCUGCGCGCACAGGGACCGGUCUCUCCUCGCAGGGACAGGUCCCCGAGAGCCCAAAUUCUAGAACUUCACCAGAAUUGCAGUUUCGCUCUCUUGGGUCCCCAUACACCGUAAGUAUAGGCUCCAAAGCACUCUUAGACUACACCAACUCAUUCCAUUCCGUGUUUCGCUCGUUUCGACGGAACUCGGCACGACAUACAGGGAUGUGAUAUGCUGCAUUUGCACCUUAUACUUGAGCUCUUAUGCUUACGAUACACAAGCAUGAAUUUUCCUCAGCAUUGUUGAGGUACCACUCGGCCACUCGCCAAAACUCGGCGAUUGCUCAACUAUCUCCACCACAACAGGGAUGUUACAACCACCACUCGAUCCCUCGGAACAUCAUCAUCCGAACUCUCGAACUACAAGGGCGUCUUCGUACAUCCCGACUUAACUCUCACAAUUCAGCUACUCACAAUACCCAGAGAGUUAGUCCACCAAAUCCACCUCUAUCCCGAGUUUAACUCUCGGCUUGCAACCAGCCACUUGCCGGUCUAAUCCAAUCACACCUAUCCACUUGGUAGGCAAUACUACUAUCACACAUGCACGCCAGGGGAUUAAUUUUAUCCACAAUAUCUAUCUCAACUAUACUUAUGCAUGCAGGUCUCCAAGUCCGCCACACAACCAUUCACAUAACCUCUUCCAAAUUAUCAAUCUUGCUACAGCACCCUCAGUAGCAGUGGAUUCCUUAACUAGGGUCGCUUAUUGUCACGCCCCGCGACCAACCGCCAAUUUGGACCGGGUCGCGGCACCGCCGACAGACCGCCGAACGGACCGGGAAUUUCCCUGUACGCGGACAGAGUCUCCCCAGUACGUCCAAGGCGUCGCAAUUCAAACAAUACGAAGGUUCCAACCAGGAACGGAUACCAAUCCAAAUUGCAUAUGUAAUAUNUCCUCCUUGUACCGGUACACGGGCCCCUGUACCGGUACAAGACCCACGAAAAUCCCAACCCGAGGCUCGGGUUGCGGGGUUCAGCGGCUCUGUACCGGUAUAACCAUCAACCUUGUACCGGUACAACCACCAACCUUGUACCGAUACAAGACCCCAGAUAGCUACCCGAGAGUUGGCCAAAUCCCGUUUUUUCGAGUUUUGGUGCAAGACUUUAAACCGCAAAUCUCGGGGUACGAACCAUAGGUCGGAACACAGUCAACGACCCCCCAGAAAAUCUGGAAAAACUCAGAACACAGCUCGAACACUCGAACCUCGCAAUUUGCAAAGGUCCAGUGUGCUACAGUUCUUUUCCAGAAAAGUUGUUGGGAGUGCCUACCCAUGAGCCCAGGAGCUUAUGCUAGGGUUAUAUGCAGGUUAGAGCGGUAGUGGUACAGGCCUGAGGUCUUCGGACUGACAUGACGAUUACUGGAUUGGAUAUUUUGGGACUGAUGGUCCAGUUGAUGCAUUCAUAUACAGUAGCUGUAGUUGCAUUCUAUAUCCUGCUUUCCCAUUGACAUUGCUACUGUAUUAUUGUUCAUAGAUAUCUUUGGUUACCAGUGAGUACCCUCGCCUUCGUCAGCUUGCGGUACCCACUGAGAGACCCUCGUUGGUUUCUCACCCCCUCCCCAUUUUUGGUGACGUUGCUUGUCCGAGUUGGGACGAGGCGUGAGGCACGUUCUUAGUGGUCAAUAGAGUUCCGGCCCGGUUCACAUUGGUUUAGUUCUAUCCCUAUCUUUUCAGGAUAAAUGACUUAGAUAUUUUAUGGUUCACUUGACUUUAUUUCAGUUGGAUAUAUAUGGUUUUGUGAGGUUAAAUAAUGUUGUUUUAUUUGUUAUCAUAUGAGUUGUGAAAAUAGUUUUCUACCUCUCAUGGUAGUGUUUUAAAGAAAAGGUUUCCGAGUGGAAAACGGUUUUUAAAAGAUUUUCUUGUGGAAAUGUAAAUGUAUAUUGUGUGUGAAUGAUUUGUGGUUGUACUUGUACUCGUGCGACGUCGUGCAAAUAUAAGGGAGACUCUAUCCAUGUGAAUAGUGAUUUUUCUGUAUUUAUGGCGGGUCUGUCAUUUCUUCGGUCAAGAUUUUCCAAAAAAAAAUUAUUAGGCAUUUUUCGCUAAUUUUACAGACUAAAAAAGGGCCCCGGGUCGUGACAGAUUAAAGUGGUAUCAGAGCCAAGUUACAACCACGGCUCCACUCAUGGAUUGUUUUGAAAAAAUAAACUGAACUAUUGAUUAGGUUGACCCAUAGGAAGACCUAUGGUAUAUAAGCACAUGAGUGCAUGGUUGUUUUUCGUACGUGCUUCAAUUUUCACACAAAUUCAUGUCUCAGUCGGGACUAGUGGCGAUGUACCUAUACAAACAUCGAGUGGCAGGGUGAUAUUCACCAGGUGUAGCCACUCCUGUCAGGUCGGGCCUUGAAGGGCCAGGUGAUAUUUUUGCGCCUAGGCGACUGUCUUAGCUGCCGGCGCCCAAGCCACUCUCCCUACAUAGGGCACAAGUGCUAUUGCGAGUAUCUCUGCGGAGACGGUGUUUUUAUUGGCUUCGACCGCAGAUACUGCGCGGGCUGCUAGAAUGCAGCCCGAGGCUUCAUUACCAACCGCUUUUGCGGCUAUAGCUUAGGUAAUGCUCCUCCAGAAUUGGUGGGUAGGACUGCAACGCCUAUCCUUUUUUCUCGUUUCUCCAUUAGUGGCAUUGUGUCAUGGAGAGAGGAGCGAACCAAGUUUCGCGUAGAUGCAAUUUGUUGGAGAAAUCCUACCCACCUAACUUUGGCGGUAUGACUCCCGAUCUUAGUAUUGGGAGUAUGAAUAUCAGAUUGGUGGUAGGACGUGGUGAUCUGUGCUAGUAUUUUCGAGCGGGUUCACCCGACUCGUUAACUACGUCUUGGUCAAGUUGCGCAAGUGUAUUGCGCGGUGAGGUUGUCACUCACCGAAUUAUUAGUGUUGGUGCUUUGACUAUCGAACCUAUAUCAUUCAAAUGCCUCAAGCCCAAACCUAAACAUUAGUCACGAACCCAAAAUCCAACCAAAAUUCCAUGAAAAAAAAAGGCUUUCAUCAUAAACCGAAAAUGGGUUUUCAUCACCCUAAACCCUAAACCGAAAAUGGGUUUUCAUCAUGAACUAAACAUGGGCUUCCACCAUAAGGAGCUCUAAUCAUACCCAAAUCUCAUGAACCAUACACUAAGAUUAUGAACUAAAUCAUAUCCAAAUCUCAUAAACCAUACACCACAUUCAUGAGCCAAAUUAUACCCAAAUCUUAUGAAUCAUACACCACGUUCAUAAGCCGAAUCAUACCCAACUCUCAUAAACCAUACACCAAGUUCAUGAACCAAAUCAUACCCAACUCUCAUGAACCAUACACCAAAUUCAUAAACCAAAUCAUACCCAACUCUCAUGAACCAUACACUAAGUUCACAUUAAGUUCUAUCAUGAACCAACAUAAACAAAUUUUAGAGUUCUAUCAUGAGCCCAACUCUAUCGUGGGCUAUAUUCACAAACUGAACCCAACUCUACCAUAGGCCAAGUUCAUAAAUUGAAGCCAACUUCGUCAUGAAUCUCAACCUUUUGCUCUAGCCCAUAUACUUAGAUUAGCAGUCAAGUGCAAAAUCAACCAACUCUUAUACGCAUACUUAGGGCGAAGUCAAUCCCACUGCCUUAGCACAUAUCAGUAAGGCAAAAUCAUUUUCAAACCAAUAGAGUUCUAAAUUAUAUACUUAAAACUCAGUCAAAUCAAGUUCAAUAGAGCUCUAAUACAUAUAUACUUAGAGUUCAUUUGAAUUGAAUCUGACUGAACCUAACACAUAUACUUAUAGUCAACCUUUUGCUCUAGCUCACCUAUAUAGAGUGAAACCCAUGUUCAAUCAAGCUCUAAUACAUAUACUUAGUUAAAUCAAAAUCUACGAACCCUAAGGCAAUACUUAGCUCUUAGUCAGAUUCUCAUUCUAGCACAUACAACUAAAGUGUAAAAUAUAUCAAAUUCAACUAAUUCUAAUAUAUAUACUCAGGAAUUAGCCACCUUCGGGUAACAUCAAAUCCGACCCAUCUCAAUACAUGUACUUUGGGUUUGGCCACAUCUUCACCUUGAAACAUACAACUGCAAUGAAAUCAAAUAUAACUGGACUCUAAAACAUAUACUUAGAGCUAAUUAAACUCUAAUACAUAUACAGAGUUUUAUGCCGACUAGAUCCUAAUAUAUACACUUAGGAUCUAGUCAACUUCAAAUCCAACUGAAUUCUAAUACAUGCACAUAGGAUUCAGCCAAUCAUUAAUAUAUAGUCCAUUCUAUCCUCCUUACUAAGGUCUCUUAAUCCACAGUGCCCUAAUCUUGCUAGGGUAAUUAAUAGUAGAUGCUUGCAUCUGUUAAAAACUAUGGAUCUACAAUACCUGAAAUCCAUUUAAAUAUUAAUCUGAAUCAUGAGUACCACUCCCACAAGAAUCCAAAAAAAAAAAAGAUUAACCGUGUGAGGUGAGUCAUUUAUCGUGGCGGAUAGCCUUAAAGAGCUAACGCUUGUCCUCUUUCUUCCUCUUCUCUUUUCCUCAAGAGAAACCCUCUCAUUCUCCUUCUUCUCACACUUUUCCUCACCUUCUCAUUCCUUCUCAAGGCUUCACACUUGGAGUAUGAGUUCUCGAGAACUUGGACAUAGAGGCCAUGACUAUGGGAGCACCAUUGUUGGAGAAAGCUUUAAGGUUUAGAUGAGAGUAGGGGCACUAAGCUUUGACUUUAAUAGGGGAUUUGCGUAAUUCAUAAGGAUUUUUUCCCCCUAAUGUCAAGAACCUCGAAAGAUCAAAAGGGCUUUACAACAAGGUUUUGUAAAUGCAUUGUUGCCAAGAUGGGGCUUUGAGAUCUUUUGUAGAAAUCGAGUUUUUCUUAAAACUAAAAUUUUGAGGGGAUGGCUAUUUCUGUAAAAUUGUAUAGUUUUCAGUGAAAUAAAAUUGCCACUCCCAUGGUUUGGCAGUGCUGAAAGUCGUGGAAGGGAACAUUCUGCAAUUUCGUACAGUAAAAACGUGAUUAUGAGAGAAAAAUGACAAGAGGGUAAUCGAGACGUUUCAGUUUUUUUUUGCAAAAAAUACGAUAUUUUGUGUCAAAUUACAUAACAAUUUAUGAACGGUGCCACUGUGCAAAAUACACACACUAGAGAGUUGUACUUAAAAAAAGUAUAAACCAAAGGGGCUAAAAUGCAAUUUUUAUAUAAUUAAAAAUUAGAGCACUCGGCGAAAAGGUUACCAUUUAUGUGUGAAAAAUAAAAUAUUUUCACAACAGAGGACUUCUGUGCGUAGAGGACUGAGAAAGGACUAAAACGGUCAAAGAAAGAAGGGUGGAGAAAUGAAACAAAAAAAAAACUAACCCUAUCCAUAGAUCUCUAUCUCUUUCUCCCUCGCCCCUCACCCUAGCUGCCGCCAACUCUCGACUCCACCGGGGCGCCACCCAUAUCGGUGACCUCCCAGGUCGGUGGGGUGGCCAGCCCAAGUCCUUUUCUCUCUCUCUAGAUAUUUCAUUCUCACCAUCGGAUCUUUCUUUCUCUCGAGUUGGUCGUAGUCCCCUUUGCCAUUACUGCAGCAAAGCUGGCCUGCCUAGCCUCUGGCGACCCACACUGGCCCUGCCUCGCCACCUCAGCCUUCCUCGAGCCUCGGACUCAGCUAGUGCUCAAGCUGAUGGAGCCGUGGCUUGAACCUUUAGAUCCAUCACUGUAGCUGGUCGCUGCCUCCUUGAUCUUCCCAUCGUUGGACUCCUCUACUUCUAGUUGACACCGGUUGCCUUAGCGCAUAAGAGCUUGAUAGCUCCUUGCUCUUUGUUGCUAUUGAUUUUGGUGGUCCAGGGCCAAGUUUCUUGUAUCGACCAUUCUGGUCAUCGGCAAGGUUCCGGUUAGGGAACCCUUCGACGUGCUUAGGCUCACUUCAAUGACAGCCCUGAUUGGUACAGCAGGCUAAUUUGGAUCACGCACUCCGGGGGUUUUGUGGCUCAGAAAAAAGGUUGCUCUAACUUGUUCUUUGGCAGCCAUUGGGGCUCCGAAUUGCAAGCAUGAUGCGAUACCCUUCUCCUGGUGCAACAGGUUGGAUUCCAAAUCGCGGAAUUGGUGGUAACGAGCCUAACUUUUAUUUUCAAAAUAAUUAUGCUAAUUAUCAAAACUAUAUCCUUUUAUGCAAAUAUACGUUACUGGCUGCCUUGGGUAACGUGUAAUAUGUGUAUUGGACCCCUAAACUGUCAGCUUAUGUUCGAAAGUUAAGUCAGAGCUAAAAUAGGCUUUAUGGUGCUUCUGUUCGUGAGAUCAUAGCUAUAAUGUGGCCAAGUGGGAGAUUGUUAUCAGGUGGUGUGUCCACAUUGGCUAGUUCUUGUUCAACCCGAUCCAUAAAAGAUGUGAAUUAGCAUUUAUCCUAAUAAGUUAAGUAUAAGGACAAAUUUAUAUGUUUCUUAUUAAUUAAGAAACGUAUCUCCUAAUAAAUAUCUAAAUAGAUGUUAUAAUCCUAAUCUCUAUGUAAGAAUCAAGAUAUUUUAAUAGGUCCCAAUAAUCUACAAAUACGAUCACUUUCUCUCAGAUUUUGUACCUACGAGAAUAUACAGAUUUCUUUCUUCUGCUCUCUCUACUUUCUCUCAGGGACUUCCACCUAUGUUCCCGAAGUUUUAGAGUGUGGACAUAGAGGACUCUCGUAGCCCUCAUUGCAUUCAAUCCAUAAUGCGUGGGAGAAGGCGAGAUACAAGAAAGAUCUACAAGCUAAAUGGAAGAUCCAGAAGAAUUUAGAUAAGGAAGAUCCAAUAAGGCUAGUAAAACAAGUAAUCUGAUCUGAUUUGUAAAUUUUCGAUGCUCUCUAAAUUCAACAAUUUGUAUCAGAGCAAUGUUUUGCUUGUUUUUGCUUUAUGAUCAUGCCUAUGAUGCUUGAUCAGAAUGCAUGCUUCGUUGAUCAAUUAUUUUUGAUGUAGAGUAGUUCUACAAUUUUUUUAAUUCAUUUUUCUAUGUAAAAUUGAUUAAAAAAAGGAAAAAUCAAAUAAGUUUUAGUUUUUUUUUAAAGUUGAUCACGAAACAUGCAACAGAUUUUUUUUAAGCCUCAUGUGUGUGUGUGUGUAUAUAUAUAUAGGGUCCGGCUACUAUACUAUUAUGAGUACGAUCGCUCUCGUACUUAUAAAUCAUUUUCGAUGAUAGAGCUUCCGAAUCGACUAUCCAUACCGUUAAACAUGAUUUACAGCAUUUAAAACUUCUAGAAAUCAAAUUUUAUAAUUUUUCGACAUCAUUUACCUUACGAUCAAGAGGUCACAAAUUUGACAAUUUUUAAUGGCCGAUAUGGGAUACUUGCUAGUUUAACGGUGUAAAAGAAUUAGAAUUUCUUGAAUUUUUUAUAGAAAAUUCUAUUCACUACCUAGAAAAAGAUCAAUAACUCCGAUCUUGAAUUGAAGGAUCCGAUCAUCUUUUUUUAGGACGUCGUUCGAUUUUGACUGUUCAUUUUAUGCCCGCCUUAUGGACUUUAUUAUGAUUUAGAAAAUUUACGAAAUUUAUUUUCUAGAAGUUUCAAAUACUCUAGAUCAUAUUUAACGGAGUGAAUUGUCGAUUUAGAAGCUCCAUCAUCGAAAAUAACUUAUGAGUACAAGGGCUCCAAUACUGAUAAUAGUAUAGUAGCCACGGCCUAUAUAUAUAGAACUAGUCUCCUAUAGUAUCUAUAGUACUGGGGCCGAUACUAUAGUCUCGUUUUCAAUCUUAGGGUAUUCAAAUCAACGAUCCACAUCGUUAAAACUGAUCUAGGAUAUUUAAAUUUUUUAGAAAUAAAAUUUUAUAUUUUUUCGACAUAGUUUACUUUAUGAUCAAACCAUUUCAAAAUUGUCAAUUUUCAAUGGCUACUACGGCGAGUUUGGAGUUUAACGGUGUAGAAGAUUCUAAAUUUCUUCAAAUUUUGAUAAAAAAUACUUUAAACUAUCUAGAUCAAGGUCAAUAUUCUUGAUCUUGAAUUUAAAAGUCUUAUGCUCAAAAUUUUAAAGAUUGUUCAAUUUCCACCGUCCAUUUUGACAUAAUUUAUUUACUAAAUAAAUAAUGUCGAAAGAAGCUAAAAUUUUAUUUCUAAAAACUUCAUAUAUCCUAGAUCAUAUUUAACGGUGUGGAUCGUUAAUUUGAACACCCUACAAUCGAAAACAAGACUAGAGUAUUGGAGCUCUUGUACUAUAGAUAGUAUAGUAGCCUCAUUCUAUAUAUAUAUAUAUGAGUUGGACUGGGCUACUAUUAGAACGUUUUACUAUUAAUAGUAUUUCAGCCUAAUUCUAUAUAUAUAUAUAUAUAUAGUUGGACUGGGCUACUAUUAGUAGCAAAAUCUCAUUGUUGCUACCAGUUUUUUAGCCUUUGGAUCAACUCUUUUCAUUAUUUCUAACCAUUGGAUUAAAUACUACAACCCAGUGGGGACCACUCAACCCUAGGGGGACCACUCAACUCUAAGCGACUAAUAUCAUCCUGACCCUACAAAGUUUCAUCCAAGGGUUAAAAACUUGAUAGUAAAAAGAGCGUUUUACUAUUAAUAGUAUUCCAGCCUAUAUAUAUAUAUAUAUAUAUAUAUAUAUAUAUAUAUAUAUUAUAUAUAUAAGUAUAUAAUAUAUAUAUAUAUAUAUAUAGUAUAUAUAUAAUAUAUAUAUCGAUUAGGACUGUGGCUACUAUUUAGUAGCAAAUCUCAUUCGUUGCUUACCAAUUUUUUAGCUGUUGGAUCAACUCUUUUAUUAUUUCUAACCAUUGAUUAAAUAACUAUAACCCAAGGGGACCAAACCCUAGAGCGGACCACUUCAACUCUAAACGCGAACUAAGUAUCAUCUGACCUACAAUUUUUUCCAAGGGUUAAAACUUGAUAGCAAAAGAGCGUCGUUUACAUUAAUACGUUUUCCAAGCGCUCAUCUCUCCUCUCUUCCUCCUCUCUCUCUUCUCUCUCUCUUUCUCUCGUCUCUCUCUCUCUCUCUCUCUCUCUCUUCUUCUCUAUAUAUAAUAUUCUAUAGAAUAUAUAUAUAAUCUAAUAUAGUAAUAUAUAUUAUAGUGGAUUGUCGCUACUAUUAGUAGCAAAAUCUCAUUAUUGGCUACAGUUUUUUAGCCUUUGGAUCAACUCUUUAUAUAUUUCUAACCAUUGCGAUAAAUACUAGUAAUCAGUGGGGACAUUUCACCCGUAGGGACACUACUCUAACGAAAUAAUUCAUCCGGACCCUACAAUUUUUCAUCAAAGGUUAAAAAUUUAUAGCCAAAAAGAAGCCGUUUUACUAUUAAUAGUAUUCCAGCCUAUUAAUAUCAUAUAUAAUAUAUAUAUAUAAUAUAUAUAAUAUAUAAUAUAGUUGGACUAGGGCUACUAUUAGUGAGCAAAUCUCAUUGUUCGCUUGUGAUACCAUUUUUUAGCUUGGAUCAAUCUUUUCAUUAUUUCUACAGAUUGGAUUAAAACUAUAAGCCACAGAGAGCGACACUCAACCCUAGGGGACACUCAACUCUAACCGACUAAUAUCAUCCUGACCCUACAAUUUUUCAUCCAGAGUUAAAAACUGGAUAGCAAAAAGAGGUUUACAUUAUAGUAUCCAGCUCAAACUCUCUCCAAUCUUCUCUCAUCUCGUCUCUCUCUCUCUCUCUCUCUCUCUCUCCUUCUACUAUAUAUUAUAUAUAUAUAUAUAUAUUAUAUAGUUGAUUGGCUACUCAUUGUAGCAAAAUCUCAUUAUUGCUACAGUUUUUUAGCCUUUGGAUCAACUACUUUUCAUUAUUCUAACCAUUGGAUGUAAAUUACUAUAAAUCAGUGGGACAUUCAACCCCUAGGGUCGCGACCACUCAACUCUAAGCCGACUAAUAUCAUCCUGACCUACGAUUCUUCAUCUAAGGCGUUAAAAUUGAAUUAGCAAAAAGAGCGAUGUUUAACUAUUAAUAGAUAUUCCAGCCGUAUAUUAUAUAUUAUAACUAUAUAUAUAUAAUAUGUUAGACUGGGCUACAUAGUAGCAAAAAUUUCAUUGAUGCUACCAGUUUUUUAGCCUUGGGGAUCAACUCUUUUUAUUAUUUCUAACCAUUGAUUAAAUAAUACUAUAUUAGUGGCGGACCACUCAACUCUGGGACACUUCAACUCUCAACCGAACAAUAUGCAUCCUGACCCUACAAUUUUAUCAUCAGGGUUAGAAAAACGUGAUAGCAAAAGAACGUUUUAUAUUUAAAUAGUAUAGCAGAUUCGUCUAUAUAUAUACUAUAUAAUAUAUUAUAUAUAUAUAUAUAUAUAUUUAUUAUAUAUUUAUAUAAUUAUAUAUAUAUAUUUGCUUCGUACAUUAUUAAAAAAGAGCAACCCUACCCACUCUACACAGGCGUUGGGCCUGGCCCAAUCCGCGUGACUACGAGUAGCCCACACCUGAGCACAGGCCUAUAGACUAUGGUUUAUUUUUUUCAUUUAUUUUUUUAUUUAUAAAAAAUUGUAUAAUUUUUUUUGUUUGUUUUUGUAUGGUACAAUAUUUUUUCAGUCGGUACAAAAAAUAAUUAAAUAAAAUAAAAAAUUUAUGCUUGUGUAGCAUGUUAUAAAUUGGGAUAAUUGCCUACAUACCCCUCAAAACUUCGGAAAUAUCUCAUUUACCCCUACUUUUUUCUCUUUCCAAUAUACCCCUCAUAUGUUUCUCCGUUAUUUCAAAAUAUCCCUACAGUUAUCACCUGUUAAGUUAACUUAGGUUAAACGUGAGUUAAAUAUCUAACACAGUUUAAAAAAAAUUAAAAUGCCACUUUUGCCCUUAACUUAAAGGCAAAUAAAAAAUAUUGCUGAUGGUAGAAGGAUAUAUUUGAAAAGACCAAAAAGCAAAAUAUUUUUUGUGCCCCUAACUUAAGGGCUAAUAAGAAAAGUCAGUGCUGGCAGAAGGGUAUAUUUGAAAGGGCAAAAUAGUAAUUCCAUAGAGAUAACAUAGUUCAUUAACAGAUUUUAACUCUAGGGGUAUAUUUGAAAUAGGUUCGAACGUAAAAAGGGUAUUGUAAGAAAGUGAAUUCUCGAAAUCCGAGAGUUGAACUUCAUUUGGAAUCGACUUAUCGUCGACUUGGUAUGCUUCGGAAAGUCCGAAUGCGGUGAAAACGCGAAAAGCGCAUUAGGGAGACCUUGGAGAGUUGAGGAUUGCAAAGUUGCAAGAUUGCACAACUUCAUAACUCUCGGGGUCCGGACCCUAGUGGCAAGGUCCGGACCCCGUAGCUGCAAAAGAGCCCUCUUGGUAUUGAGAACCUCAAGUGUACAACUUGCACACUUUGGCAACUCUCGGGUCCGGACCCUGGCUUUAGGGUCCGGACCCCGUACCACGAAAUGCCCCAUUUUGGGCUGUUACAACAAUGUUAAGGGGGUUUUGUGCUUUUGUUACAUGAGUGGGGGGAUAUAGAGAUGAGAAAGCCCUCUCUUUCUUAUUCGCCUAGAUCUUUCUCCCUCUCUCUCUCUAAGUGCUCUUUCUCUAUCUAGAAGGUGAAGGAGGAGAAGGAGUUGGUGGAGAUUGAAGCAAGGGGAAGGCUAGGCAUCAUCUUCUCCUUCUUCUUCAAGCUUGGAGGAGGCUUUUGAGGUAAGCUUCUAACCUCUCUAAUGGCAUCUUCUAGGGUUUAGAUUCUUAUACUCUAGAAGUGGUUUAGUUGGAGUUCUAGAAUGACUAAUAGAUGAUUCUAGUAUGAAGCUAGAGCUUUGUUGAGGUUUUGUUACCAUGGUUGCAAUCUAGGGCUCGAACUUAGGGUUUUGAGAAAUCGAUGAGUUUGAUCUCAAUUGGUCGGUUGUAAACCUAAUUGUUAGGUAUCUAAGCACAUCGGCGAAAUCGGUUUGACGAUUCGUCGAGUUGGUAUGAAGUUCUUGGCAAAAGGGACAGUCGUAGUCCUCGUUCCUACUCGGAGAGCCGAAGCGACGUUCCAAGAGAUUGCCGAGUUCCGUUCCUCAAGUUGUAGCAUCGCCAAAAGGUGGGUGGUGACCAUCCCGAAGCAGUUGAACUGCUCCCUAUGUCUAAGUUUGUUGUUGACUAUAUUGCAUAUUGAGCAUGAUACAUAUAGGGUGCUUAGAUGCUUGUAUCUAUUCUUGCAUGCUAGUAGUAGUGUAGUUUCCUUGGUUUCGCACUUGAACCUAGCAUGCAUGAGGUUAGCGUGAUAUGGCUUAGAACCCUAUAUGAGAUGAUAUAUGAUGGAUUGGAACCUAGGUAAAUGACAACCUAGUGAUUGUGCCUAUGUGGAUGAAAACCUAGUAAAGUGUAAACUAGUGUCUUGGGAAUAUGUAACAAGAACGAGUGGCAUCUAGUUAAUGUUGAACACAUGAACGAGUGGCAUGAGAACCUUAGUGUAGUGAAACACUAUGAGAUUGAGUACAGGAACACACUGAUUCCAUGAUGAUGAUAACCCUAGUUGUUAGGGUAUCCUCAGUUGACGAGGAUUGGAUCGACUCACAUAGCCUGUCUGCGCUUGUAGUGGUCGCUCUACACAAGCUGUGCACUCCGGAGUUUUGGUCACUAGAGGGGCAGUCGUGAGCUGCCCAGACAGUAGCUAGCUGUCCGCAGGCGGUCUCGGGGAUAGCCGAGUGAUUAAAAUCUCCUCCCCUAUGAGACUUUGAGACGUGAGAUUGAGAGCGAGCCUUCGGGUUAGCUGAGAGCUUGGGUAAUCUAAUGAAUAGCUUUAUUGUUGAUCAUAGUAGUAUGGUAGCUAGCCUUUACUAUGAGUUGCAUGCAUUCAUUAUAGAUUGAGGCAUGGUAGAUUACUUUCAUGUCUUCUUACUAUGUUAUCGCUUUUAAGUUAUCUAUCUAUCUAUCUAUCUGCCUAUACCUGCUUAGACCUAGUGGGGAGAUCGGCGAAGUCAGCGGCCGAACCCAUUGGGAACUAUGGACAAUAGUUCUCACCCCACUUUGUUGUAGGGCCGAGCUCGAGUACACCCGGCGAGGAUCGCAGUAAGGGCUUAGCGCCCUAAAGGUUGUAGUAGUUACCUUCCUUUUUGCAUUAGAGCCACCUGGUAUAUAUGUAUGCUUGAGAGGAGAUGAUGUAUAGGUAGUGAGGUAUCAGGAUGAUUGUAAACUUAUGUUUAUAUUUUGGAAGUUUAAAUGUAAUCAGAUGUAUAAAGGCUACAUGAAUGUAAUAGAUAAGUAUAUCUCUUUUAUUUACUUGUUUAUUACUUGUGAUGCUUGCUCUUGAUUGUUUAGCACUGGUUGUGCUCUCGCUAUUGUUGUAUGAUCGUGUAUGUAUUCAAGUGAUUUCUUGGGAACUUGUUGUACAUGAUCUCGUUGUUUUGCCUUGGGCGGACAGGGGAGGUCCUGUCCAUUCGGCGUCUGUUCGACGUGCCCGAACCGGACCAAAUUGGUAGCGGGUCUCGGGGCGUGACAGGUAUUUUCAAUAUUAGCCUUCUAAGAGGGGUAAACCAGAAAGUCAGGAACUUUUCAAGGGUUGUCACGCCCCGGGGCCAAUUUUAAAAUUUUUUUUGAAAUCAGAGUUACGGAAAACGUGUCUUUUUGUUUUUUUUUUUUUUAUUUAACUUGGUCUACGGGACAUACAGACCCGCCACAAAUAUAAAGUUUCUCUGUCCACUCGGACGGAGUCUCUUUUGUAUUUGCACGGCGUACCAACAAUACAUCAGGAUUACAAUGACAACCUACAUUUACAAAUCCACAAUCAAUUCAUGUAAUGCAUUUCCAUACAGCUAGCGAUCCUUAGAAAUAAUGCAUGUCUCUAAACACUGCUUAGGCGCUGGAUGAUGUGAUGCACAGUACAACAGUCAUCCUAUUUAAAAGUGCUCCCUAUCCGGAAGCUUUGUUUUUAAACUUCAUUCAAUCAUUAAUAAAAACCAUUCGAAAACUUUUUUAAAACUGUUUCCCACUUAAAAACUCCAUUUGAAAUCCGACUGCCUCGAGGGGUAGAAAACCACGAUGCAUAAAUGCACAAAUCCAAGAACCAAUUAUCCAUAAAACCAAAACCACAGAUCCAAAAAUCUCCAAUUCAAACAAGUUCACGAACAUUGAAACAUUCAUAGGAAUCAUCUAACUGAACCAUUUAAUUAUUUAAAUUACUAGAAACGGAAAUAAAAGUAACCCGGGUGGCGGUCGCUACUGCAGGCUAGCUAGAACGUCUUCCCGUCGCGCCAAAUGCCAACUACUUGCCUAAACCACCUAGAAAAUAGGGGGUGAGAAACCACAAUCAAGAUUUCCCAGUGGGUACGACAGAGCCACGAAGGCAAGUCGUAAUCACCGAAAACCAAAAGACGUAAAGUAAACAAAGUACAGAUGAUGUGAUACGAAAGAGAACUAUAGUAGCUAUAACUGAUAUGAUAAAAAGCAAGUAAUAAAAACUGCUAUUGUAAGGAAUACAAUGCCGAGUAUGCCUCAAGGUAACCAAAUCGAAACUGUACCCAAUUUAGUGCCUGCUUUAUUAGUCUAGGGACCUCAAGCGUUGCCUGUCACAAACCUGCACCGACCUGAUCCAUGUGCCCACUGGACGACUUAUCCGGAUAGUACACCCCUGGUCGGUGGCCAAACCGACCUGGUGUCAAUGAAUACACCCAAGUGCUGUGACUAAGUCAUGCUGAUAUACUCAAUGCGAAAGCCGGCUGAAACCGGUGCCUUGGCAAAAGCCAGAUAUAAGGGCGUACAACGCCGAACCACGAUCAACCAGAUCGAAACACAUGACAAAGGAGUCGAUGUGUUGCCUGGACCCAAAGUCCAUAGAUAUACAACAUAUGCAAACCUGCUCUACAUGUCUAUCCACAACUAUCAUCAUGCAAUCAACAAGGUAUAGAUGAACAAACGAUAAACAAAUGUAAUCGACAUGUAGAGACUACGAUACUGAUAUGAAAGAACAGAGAAAAGUGAAACGAUCUCACCGACUACCAGCUCGAAGCACCCACCUGUCACUAUCGCGUCGGGAACCUGGGUGCGCAACAAGUCAACCGGACCUAUGAAAAUCCACCGGGUCAGUAUCCAAACAACCAAUCCAAAAUAUCCAACUCACAAAUCCCACACAAAACCCCAAAAUCGGUUUUCUUAAACCGAUCACUGUAACUCGUCGGAAGUCCCAAAAAUAACACUAGGACGCCGUCGGGACCUACUAAGUGCCCCGAAACUCACCAACUCGUGCCACGAGUCACCCGCUGCCACCAAACACAUCGAUUUGGAUGUCUUGGUAGCAAACACAAGAUUACGCAACCAAACAAUUAUCGUUGGAUAAUUGUUCGGAUCCGGGUUCCCGGAAGUGUCAAUUUCGACACCGGAACCCACUGUCGCUUACUCGUCAUCUCGGAACUCACGAUAUGAUGAUGGUGACCAGCCUACAAGGCUCCACGACAAAUGUUAAGGAUUUUGUAUUGGCAAGUUUCGUGAAGUGAGUCGGAGUCUUGAAGGAUCGAAGCGGAUUGACGAAGAUUGAAGAAUUCAAGAUUUCGAAGAAUUUGGAAAGUAACUCACAAUGUGAAUCACGACGUAAAGGUAAUGUGUUAAUUCAUGUUAUGGUGAUUUAUACUUUGUUAUAGGCAUUAGGAUCAUAAACUUAAAGUUUUAUGGAUUAGAAAGUGCCUCGGAACGUAGCGGAACCCGAAACAGUGCAAAAUCCAAAAAAUUGCAUUGUGUACCGGUACAGCAAGUGCCCAGUACCGGUACAGCCAUCAACAUUGGCAAUGCAAAUUUUCGUUCCGUCACUGUGUAACCGGUGACAGCUUUUCGCGUACUGGUACACAGUGUAAAAUCAUGAAAACUUUCAAAUUCGACUCCAAUUGAUUCUAAAGUCUAUAAAUAAGCUAUUGGGGUUCUCUAACAUAUGAAGCAUCACGAAAAUACAUGUUUGAGAAACCCUAGAGGCUCGGAUUUCAUUUAAAACCUAUUUUCUACAAAAAAACCUCUUUUAGGUCAAAUCAAGAUUUUGGAUUUUGAUAUCAAUAUGUCGAUUUGAUCUCCGCUUCCCUUGGAGUUCGCUUCUCUGGUUUUCAUCGAUACUCUAAGCGAAGGAUCACCAUAAUCAUGAUGCUCUUCAUGAACGGCGUCGUGGAUUCGGCGUGAACGAAGGCGGUUCGUGGAUUCGGAUCGUGGGCUCGUGGAUUCGAGUGGCGUCGUGGAUUCGGCGUGAUUGAAGCUUCGUGGAUUCGAAGUGGAGGCGUUCGUGGAUUCGAACGUGAGGGCGUGGACAACCCGCAGGAUUGCGCGAGAUUCAUAGGAGGUUAAGAGAGGUUGAGUCCGUGGAGUCGGUAAUCACCUUGUAAUCUUUUCUCUUAGUGAAUUAUUUUUUCGCGUGUUGAUCCCGUGGGUUUUUCUCCAAGUUGGAGUUUUCCCACGUAAAUCUCGGUGUGAUUUUUAUUUUUCGCAUUUAUUUUUAUCGCAUUGAGAUUUGUGGUUUUUGGCUAUUUCACCUAUUCAUCCCCCUCUAGGUGAUAGAUACAAUCUAGAUAGAUCCUUG